GCUUUUCAGUCGACUGUAGUGAUCAUGGGGCUGCAUUUAUUGAAGCUAAUGUUGGCUGUGAUAUAUCAAAGUUUCUUCAACCACCAGAUAUGGAGCUGCUACAACAGUUAAUCCCACCUAGUCCCCAGUUAUCGAAUUUAGAUGUUUCUGAAAGAGAACUUUUGGCAGUCCAAGUAAAUUUGUUCAGCGGCGGUGAAAUGGCAAUUGGUGUUUGUUUUUCGCAUGGAGUGGCCGAUGGUUCAGCAAUAUUUAACUUCAUGAAAACGUGGGGCGAAAUCACUCGUGGGGUGAUUAAUGGUAAUGAUAAUAUUUGCAAUAACAAUGUCGUUUUAGAUUGCACCUCUUUGUUUCCGCCGGUAAAUUUUCCAAAGCCGUAUCAAAUCGUCACAAGCCCACAAUCUUCAGGCAACAUUGUGUUCAAAAGAUUGUUGUUUGAUAGCAAGAAGAUAGCAGCUCUAAAGGAGAAGGUGAAUAAAGAAAUAGGUAAAUUUAAUGAGCUACAAGCAACGCGUUUCGGGGUUGUAUCAGCACUCAUUUGGGGGGCCUUCAUUGCUAUAGCCCGUGAAAGAAAGAGGGCAAUUGACAAUAAGUUGUACUCUCAUGCAAUCUAUUAUACUAUGAAUUUGCGUAACAAGUUGAAUCCACCAAUGAUUCCACAAUGCAUGGGUAACAUUUAUCGGCUUGUAAGGGCAGAAUGGUCACUAGCCAAGGAUGAUGCCAUAGAGGAAACAAGUUUAUUAAGAGAAGUGAUCAAAGCAAAGAGAAUGGGAAGAGAAGUGAUGCAUAAUAAUGAGUACUUAGGUUUCAUAAAGGAUAUGAAAGAAACAUGGGAAGAUUCAAGGUCGUUUGGUUUAACUAGUGUGGUUGGAUUGCCCUGUUAUGAAGUUGAUUUUGGCUGGGGAAAGCCUGUUUGGUUUAGUGUCGGGCCGUUGUUAUUAAUUGAUCUUGCUAUUUUAACGAGCACAAGCGAUGGUGAAGGAAUAGAAGCAUUGAUGGUAAUGUUUAAGGAGGACAUGGAUAAAUUUGAACAGGAACCCAGCAUCAUGGCUUAUGCUUCCUCUAACCCCAGCAUAUUUAUAGGGAAGUAGGAACUUAAUUUUAUUUAUCUUGCUUUGAAUAAAAGAGUUUUUGUUUAUCUUUAACUUGAGUAAUGAUGAUAUGCUUGCAAAGUUGGGAAUGAGUUAUUGUACAAUAAUUGUAUCUUAUUUUCGUCAUAUUUCUUUUAAAUAUAAUCAUGCUGUAGAUAAAUACUUUCUUUCUAGAAAACCAACAACCAUAUUGAUGGUUAGGGAAAAUGAGGGGAAAAAACACUGAAUAUGAUGUAGUUAUAUUGGACAAGCAUAGCUGCAUAAAGAUGAUUUUGAUAUAUUUAAAAUGUGAAUCAACUCUGAAUUUGCCACAUAAUGUCAUUUAGUUUUUUUAUUAAGGAAAAUAUUAUCUAUGACCAAGAGAAUCGAGAAGCUUAGUUUGAGUGUAGUUCAGCAACUAGAAUGGAAGACACAAGAGCUUGCUUUGAGUUGAAUUCAGUAGAAGGAGCCUUGAAGCUUAGCUUGUGGCUUUGAGUUUAGUUUCUUCAGCUGGAUAGGAGAGCCUUAGGAGCUUGCUUUAAGUUUAGUUCAGCAGCUCGGCUGAAAGAGCCCAAAAGUUUGAUUUAAGUUCAAUUGAAGAGAGAGAGAGAGAGAGAGAAUAGUAGUGAAUAGUGAUAGGGAUGAAAUGGUAACGUCACCCAAUCCUAAGUGAUGAUGACAAUCAAAAUAAGUUCUAAUUUGAGUUAUUUGCUAUCACCAAUUGCUAUAAAUUAAUAAGCACUGAUAUUUGAACUCCAUCACAACAAUAUUAAGACAAAAAAUGGGGUAAUGUUCAUGUUAUAGUACCGCUGUAGCACAAAAAACGAAAGCACUGUCCAUCCUUCUACAUGUAAGCUAAACACAUGGUUAAAUACGCAUGAUGAAUAAAGGAUAUCAUUUAUCUCUAAUAUGAAUUUGGAUCUAGUGCUACAUUGAGUUGUGCUGAUUUUUUUUAAUAAUAAUGUAUAAAUAAAAUUUAACUAUGUAUUAUUUUUUAAUCAAAUGAUUACUAAUCAUAUUAUUAUAAAAAGUUCUGGACAAUAUUGAAUUCAAAUCCAUUAAAUAUAAUCCCUAACACUUGUGUUUUUUCGAGGUUAAUUAGGGGUUAAUAAUUUUUUAACCUUAUUAAUUGAUAAGAGUACUAGUAUUUACCUAGAAGAAUUUUUUAAUGCAGUAAUAAACCGACAUUAAAACCAUAUGGAUUGCCGUUAGUUGAAAAAAAUACAUUAAAUCCAUUUGAGAUUGCCGUCAAUUAAAAAAUAAUGGAAAAAAAAACACUUAAAACCAUAUGAUUUUACUGUUGAUUUUGUUACCAUUCUGAAACCUUUAUUGGUAAAUAUCAUUUUUCAAUUGAUCAGUAGCGGUGAUCACCUACUAAUAUCUAUAAAAACAAUCAAACCAUUAUUUGCCUCUUCACACUUCUUGCCGUACUACACUUCUUACACAAAAGUAAACACAUCGCAACUAUACAUCUAAUGGGGUAAACACAUCGCCUUUUAUGAAUAGCAAUCAAACUCAUCAAAGACAACUGCUAUUUAUUCCACCUUAUGAAUCCGCACUUCCAUUCACUUGUCAGAUAAAUUUGUAAAUGAAUAGUAAUAUUUGUUCCCUCAAAUUUAUCUCUUUCACGUAAUCUCAUUUAUUUUUAAGAUAAUUCUUGUAAAAAAAAAGCAGAAAUAAUAAUUAAAAAAAUUCUCUUCUCUGUCGUUUGCCUUUCUCUCAAUCUCUCAUCUGCUGUUAACUUCUAUGCUGUUGGAUCAGAAACAUAUUGAACUUAGAUAAACAUAACAAUGGCAAUUACAAAACAUUCAUAAGAUUAGAGAAAACCCAAGCCAUUUUAAAGCACCAUAACAUAUCUCUGCACCAUAGAAAUUCAAUUGUUCACGAUUCAAAAUAAACACCCUUGGAAGCAGAUAUAUUGGGCUAAAGUCAAAAGCAACAAAUGAGAGAGAAACGAAAAGAAAAUUACAAAAAGAAAAGUUUAUUUUCAUUUCAAAUUUCUUAUAAGGGUAAUUUUGUAAAUAAAUGAGUUUGAUUUAAAGUGAAGCCUGAUAAGAUAAUCUCGAUUUAUUGACUUUAAUGCUAAAAGUCAAAAUACAUUAAUGGCAAAUGGUAGACAAGUAACCGGCCAUUUUAGAACAAGCUCUCUAGGCCACUCUCUUCAAAAUUUUUAUAGGGAAAUUUAUAAAAAUAAUCUUAAAAUUUUUAUAAUUUUUAAAUUUAACCCACCCAAUUUUUUCCUAUCAUAACUAGCCAAACAUCUUAUUUUUUGACUAAAUUAUCCUCAUCAAUUUUGUCAAAUUUACAAAGGUAUGCCACUUGAGAAAUUCCAACACAACUAAAUGCUUUCAACCCUCAAUAACUUAACAAACCUUCAUCACUCCCAACAAACUUAAUCACUCUUAAUAAAUCAAAAAAUUCUAUCAAACAAGCAUUGCAUAAUUGAAGAUAUAAUCAACUACUUGGAGAGCUUCUUAAGGUUAGUGUAUGUUCUUACACUAUAUAAACUUUUAAUAUAUUGAUUUUAUCGACUAAGUUCAAAAUUAAAGUGAAUUUUGCUGCCAAUGUUAUUACUUUUCAUUAAUAAAAACAAAGUGGAUGGUUAAAGUUCUUAGUUUGAGUUGAGAAAUCAAGAUAAAUCAUUGAAAAUACUAAAAACUCGAGUAAAAAAUAAAACCCAAAACAAGUGAGACAUGCUAAUUUAGUGAGAUAGACAGUGGGACAGGUGCUUGUUUCAUAUAAACUCGUUGUGUUUAUGUGCGAUAGACACCUGUCCCACUGCCUGUCGCACAUAACUUGGUGAGACAGGCACCUGUCCCACUUGUUCAACAUGCUUGUCUCACCAAAUUAUGCACAACAUGUAGUGGGAUAGGUGCAUGUCACACAUAAACCCAUUGUGUUUAUGUGAGACAGGCACCUGUCCCACUGCCUGUUUCAUAUAAACACGCUUGUCUCACUAAAUUUCAAAUAUUUUCCGAAAGUCAUAACUUGAGCUACAUGUUUCCGUUUUAGGCUUAUAAUAUACCAUUUCGAAACUUGCGACAAGACAAAUCAAAUGCAACAUCGUAGACUCCAUUCUAUCACAUGGUCGAUUCAAAAAUUUACCUAAACUUAAGUGCGAUAGGCAUCUAUUGCAGCUAAGGGUAUAAUCACAUUAAUUGUGAUUAAUUGUGCAUAAUAUAUUGCUUCGACAAGUGUCCUGUGGUGAAAGAAAAGAAAAAUAUCAGUUAUGGUUUCAAGUUGGUGAUGAUUUGAUACGCUUAUCGAUUGGAGAGCAGUACCUAGUAACGGGACUUUGCUAUGGCAAAGAUGUCGUGCUGAAGAAGCAUAAAACAAUGCACAUGUUACUUAAGAAGUAUUUUGGCAAUAUGUGAACAUGCACGAUAGAUUGUGUUAUUAGACCUCGACGUUGUCUUCAUCGUCAUACUAUAUUCGUUAGGAUUUAUCUAAAAAACUUCAUACACUCAUACUAGAAAUUGAUCAAAAGUACAAUCUUUCUGAACUAAAAAGGUCGUAUUCUUGGCAUUCACGUACUCCAUACGGUCAUCUGCCAACGUCUCCCACCAAUCGCCGUAACAUAAUUGAAGCACAAUUGAAUCCAUUAAACCUAAAAAUUAUUAAGAAAACAAAAGAAAUAAGACUAAAUGAUACAAAAUAUGGUAAAGUGAAUAUGCACCACAUUUAUAUGGAUGUCGUACAUAAUGUGAUUAUGCGCUUAGAUGCAAUAGGUGCCUAUCACACUUAAGUUUAGGCAAAUUUUUGGUUCAACCAUGUGAUAGAAUGGAGUAUACGGUGUUGCAUUUGAUUUGUCUCAUCGCAAGCUUUGAAAUAGUAUAUUAUAUACCUAAAAUGGACACAUGUGACCCAAAUUAUGAAUUUCAAAAAAUAUCUAAAAUUUAGUGAGACAUGUGUGUUUAUGUGAGAUAGGCAGCGGGACAGAUGCCUGUCUCACAUAAACACAGUGGGUUUAUGUGCGACAAGCACUUGUCCCACUGCCUGUCGCACAUAAUUUGGUGAACAUGCAUGUUGAACAAGUGGGACAAGUGUCUGUCUCACCAAGUUAUGUGCGACGGGCAAUGGGACAGGUGCCUGUUGCACAUAAACGCAGCGGGUUUAUGUGAGACAAGCAGCUGUCCCAUUGCCUGUCUUACUAAAUUAGCUUGUCUCACUUGUUAUGUGUUUCAUUUUGUGCUCGUGUUGUUAGUGUUUUCAAUGAUUUAUCUUGAUUUCUCAACUCAAACUAAGAACUUUAACCAUCCACAUUGUUUUAGUAAUGAAAAAUAAUAACAUUGGUAGCAAAACCCACUUUAAUUUCGAACUUAGUUGAUAAAAUCAAUAUAUUAAAAGUUUAUAUAGUGUAAGAGAAUAAACUAACCUUAAGAAGCUUCCCAAGUAGUUAUCUUCAGUUAUGCAAUGCUUGUUUGAUGGAAUUUGUUGAUUUAUUAAGAGUGAUCAAGUUUGUUGAGAGUAAUGAAGAUUUGUUAAGUUGUUGAGCGUUGAAAGCAUUUAAUUGUGUUGGAAUUUAUCAAGUGGCGUGCCUUUGUAAAUUUGAUGAAAGAGAUGAGGAUAAUUUAGUCUAAAAAUAGGGUGUUUGGCUAGUUAUGAUAGAAAAAAAUUGAGCGGGUUAAAUUUAAAAAUUACAAAAAUUUUAAGAUUAUUUCUAUAAAUUUCUCAAAUUUUUAAAUGGCUAUUUUACCGACAUUUGGAAGCAAUGAGUCAAGCUUCCAUAAAUGCACCUUGACUUCAUUUCAUGCAUGAUGGCAUGCAAGACAAAUUUGGCUCCUUUAUUCAUCACGUUGGCAAUUAUCAUGCUCAUUUGGUGGCUUAUAAAAGUCAAGAUUAUCAAGCUCAAAUGGAGGCUAUUUCAGCGGAUUUGAUCCAAAUUAUUUGACAAUUGAAGGCUUACUUUGCCUUUAGACAGAGAGGGGUCUUGGAAAUGGAAGCUAGAGGAGUUGGAGUGUGAGUGCAGUUCUCAAACAAUUUAAGAACUUAGACUGAUUUGUGAGAAGUAAUUCUUUAACAUUUAAAAGAGUUAAAGUGUUCUCGAGUGAUUUGAGAGUUUGGGUGUAUUGAAACUUUAGGUUAUGAGAUAAAUAUUCAAUAUAUGUACUUUAUAUUUUUAUAGUGAAAUAUUCUUUUUUGUCUUCGCUUAUUGAAGUAGACUAAAACACUGAACUACUAAUGUCAUUUGUUUUUUGUUGCGAUAUAUAUAAUCUUGAAUUGUUGCAAUAGAUAAUUUGAGGCAGUCAAAUAUCAUCACUCCUUUGCAAAAAGUAUAAAAAAAUAUAAAAGCACAAAAUAAAGAAUAUUGAUAUUUGAACCCGCAUUUUAUCUCACUAACUCCACCUUUAAUUAACCCCACAAAAAUAAUGAUAUUUAAACCCACAAUGUAUCUCACUAACUCCAGCUUUUGAUUCUCCCCAUUUAUUUCUGGAAUUGCCCUAUUUAUCAAAAUUUUUCCCGAAUUUUUAUUCGCUUAUGAAGCAUCAAGUUUUCGAGGGCAAAAUAUGUUUAUGCUCAUCGUCAUCGAAGGCAACUUCAAUUAAAAGUCAUCAUUUUGUCAACUGCAUCAUAUCUUUUUGUUCAUUCCAGCUAUGACCAUCUAAUUCGGCAACUCCUUCAGCUGCCAUGCAGUUGACCAGAAAUGUAGAUGUUAUUAGCAUACCCACCCGUUGCAUGACUUUGUGAUUGUGAAAAAUCACACUAUAAAAGGCAUGAUCAAACAGUUUCUGACUCAAUCAUCAGCCAUCCAUGGACGAUUGACUUGGCCAGAUAAAUAAUUUUCAGGCUCUGUAGAUAAUGUUUCUGCUUGAACACAAGAAUAUGCAUAAAUCAUUCAUAAAUGAAAAUGUAUUGCUAAAGAGACUAAGGUCCCAUUUGAGAUUACCGUUAAAAUGUUAUAAGCUAUUUAUUUCAUAAGUUUUGAUAAACAAGAAAAAAAAUUCAGUAAAAAUGUGUUCAAUAAAUUUUUAAAAAGCUACUUAUUUCAUAAAUUUCUCCAUUUUGACAAUAAUUUUUAGAAGCAGGUAAAAGGUUGUUUUUCAUAGACUAGUUACUAAAUAAGCCAUCACAUCUUUUUAAAGCUUCUAUUAUAAAUUUAAUAUUUUAACAAAAUGACAACUAUACAAAUAAACGAUAAUCUAAACAUAUGUCUAUUUUUAUCUCGUUUUAAAAUUUACCAAACUCAUAUGAUCUAUUUUUCAAAUUCAUAGCAAUGAUAAUAACACAAUUUACAAAACACCAAGCUAUUAUUUUAAUCAGUAGCUUAUUUUCAUCUACAUAAUAGAAACAACUUAUUUCAUCAGUUAUCGUAAUCCCAAAAUGGCGCUAAGUGCAAGAAAAUGAUUAUUGAUGAAUUAUUUACUUUCCAAAGUUCUGUCGUCUUUUUCUCUUGAAUUUGAACAAGAGUCAGGGGUAAAAAAAUGAUAACUAAGGUAGUUUUGCAAAAAGUGAGGUUUAAUUGAGGGGCUAAAAAAUCAGUAUUCUCACACAUUACACAAUAGAGAUACAAUAAUUUAAUGUGAUUUAUAUUGAAUUGGCUGUAUACUAAUAAUUAGUAAAUUAUAGUUGUUCAAGCGGCAAUUUCAUUGUGUUGUAUAUUAGAAAAUAUCAAGGGAGCAAGAUAAUCAUGUAUGUUUCUCACAUUUACACUUAGGCCCCUAUUUUUUAAAAUUUCUCAGUACAACCCAUAUGUUAAAUAAACUGUAAUACAAAAAAAAAAAUUGUAUUCUUUUCUUAUUAUAAGUUUUGUUCUCAGUCAAAUAUAUAAUUUACACGGUAUUGAGUUGUUGGUCUUUUUCUAUCAUAAGCUCAGUGUCACUAAAGUCAAUGAUGUGGCUUGAUAUUUAGAAAUUAACGCCCAUUGCUCCUAGUUGUAAGUUGUUGGUUUUGUACAUGUUAACAACUCAUUUUCUUUUAACUAAGAAUUUUCAAAUUAAAAAGUAUAAAAGUUGUGUAUAUAAUUAAAAAAUAACGGGUUAUAUUCAUACUAUGAUAGAUGAUAAAUUAUUUUAAAUAUACAUAUACGUGGGUUGUCUAAAGACUAAAGGAGCAAGAGUCUAGCCUAAUAGUAUUGUAGUAAUAAUUUGAGGGGGAAAAACAUUACACUGCCUUGUUAGAUAGAAUUAGGCUAUUGCUUGAGAGAUUGAAGCAACAAGCAUUGUCCUUAAUUCUAGCCAUAAUUCCUAACCGUGCAUGUAGCAUUAUUUAUAAUAAUUAUUUAGUGAGCAUUGUCCAAUAGCCCAGUUCCAUAUUUCGUAUAUUCACUUCACAACUAAUAAAUUCUGUUAACAAGUAACCAUAGAGUAAGAUAUUUGGUAAUUGUCAUGCCACUAGCAUUCUCCUGUGAAUUUCCAAUAAUAGCAUCAUAUCUCGUUAGCGUGGUUUCAAAGAAAUAUUGACAUAGCUAAUCCAAUGUCUUAAAUACUUAAAAUAGCAAAACAAAAAGCUGAUGAUUCCUGCAAACAUCAAUCGAACGACGGAGAAUUUGUUGAAAAUAAAGAGAAUGAAAUAAGGUUUAGGUAGGGAGACAUAUUCAGCGUUACUUCUUGAAGAAUUAUACAACUAAAAAUAUUUUUAAAAAAAGUCGAUAUGAAAAGCAACAAUUACCUAACCCUUAUUAGUUGGCUCUGGACACGCGGAAGUUGUUGACGAGAAUAAUCAGAGAUAAUAGAAACAAAAUUAUAAAUCAAAAUGAUUGGUUAUUGUCUCCAUUUUUAUAAAUCAUUUAAAAUAUUGAUUAAUUGACGUCAAGAUUGAUUGACUCAAAUCUUUAUAAAUGAAAAUAUUACAUCAGUUGUAUAAUUUUAAUUUUUAUUUUUUCAUACAUUGUGUAAAUUCAGCGUUUAUGUUCCUGGAAAUUUAGUUUAUUCAUUUCAUCAAUUGAUUACUCCAGUAUAAACGAAUUAGUUUAAAAUACUUUAGAUUCUUUUAAGCAAUGGACAUAUGGGGCUGUUUGUUUGUUUGUUUUUUCUAACUUCAUGAUUUAAUUGACUUAAUUUCAAUUAAUUAAGUCAUUGAGAGGGCGUUUGUUUUCUAACUUAAUGAUUCAAAGUGACUUAUUAAUUAAGUUAAGUAGAGGGCGUUUGUUUUUAUAACUUAAUUUGAAUUUUUAAAUAAUUUUGACUUAAUUAAAAAAGUUAAUUUUUUUUUGGGUUUUUAUGACUGGAGAAGUUUGAAUCAGCCAAUUGAUUUCUAAUAUUAAAAAUAUCUCUAAUUUAUUAUUUAUUUUUCAUGCUUAUCCUAAAACACACCCAUACAUGUUUAUCUACUAAUAAUCUCAUCUUUAUUUUUUCCAGCUGCUAUGAAAUCCCUCCCUACUUUACUUCUCUCAUCAAGUUCUUGAAUUUCUCAUUAUCGUUAAUAAAAGAUUUUAUUCUUAAAAUUUUUAUGUAAUUAUAUAAUCAGUUUUUAUUAAAAAAGAAAUUUAUAUGUUAUAAUUUCAAAAUAAUUAUAUAUAUAAAGCUUAGGAAAAGGAUACAAAACUCUCUAAUGUCUCAAAAAAGACUUUUAAACUCUAAAUUAUUAAUGGAUUCAAUUUUUUUAAAUAAUUUAAAGGUUAAUAUGAUACAUUCCAUAAUUAAUAAUGGGUGAUGAUAGUUGAUGAAGAAGAAGAAGAUGACAUUGAAUAAGAUGAGCAAUUAGGAAAAAGGAGAUAAUAAACUGAAUUUCAACAGUAAAAUUCCAACCAUUAUAAAUAAGGGUGUGUUUCUAAUUCUAUUAAUAAUUUAUGGGCAAAAUGGAUUAGUCAAUACAAUUACUUGUAUUUUAGAGGAAGAUAAUGGUAAUCAUAAGUUGAAAAUAAUUUUUCUUGUUAAAAUUAACAGAAUCCAUUAACAAAUUGGGGGUAAAUGUUUUUUUAAACGUUAGAGAGUUUUGUAUCCCUUUCUAUAAAGGUUUGGGGUGUAUCAGUCAUUUUCUCUAUUAUUUCCUUGACAUUCGAAUUUAAUAAGGAUACAAAUGUAAAAGUACACAUUUUUAGUUUUUAAGUUAAAAAAAAAACUUAAUACUUUUUCAAAGAUUGAAAAAAAAAUUAUUUAAAUUCAGACAUCCUAGUCUAUUAAAAUUUCAUAGUAGUUCAAGUCUAUUUAAAUUUCAAAUAAAAAAAUUCCAGCUAAAUCCGUUUGUUUUUUCAACAUAAUGAAAAUUUUUAGUUAUUAAGUCAUUAAGUCAUUAAGCCAACUUUUUAACUUUUUGCUAAGCAAAAAAGAUGCCAUUAAAAUAUAUCUUCCAAAAUAUCCCUAUCUAAUUAAUUAAUUUUCAUCCUUACCUACUUACCUAAAUAAAAUUUCAUCCUUACCUAAAUAAAAUUUAAUAAUUAACAUUAUUACCCAUCUCUAUAACUUGUGAUAAUAUAGCGGUAGGUGACUAUUAUUUUUAUCCUUUUAUUUUCUUCAAAUUAGCAUAAUUAAUCUUCAUGAUUUUUUUGAAUAUUUUUUUAUAUAAAAAUAUUAUGAACUACAAUUAAAUUGAUUAACAUGUACUAAUUUAGAGUAUAAAGGGUUGUACUCAAUUAAACAUGAUUUAUGUUAUGGUAGCAUUCUAUUUUAUUUAAGUUCUUUGAGGUGUUUAUUAUUUAUUUAACAUUUUGUAAGGGCACAAAUGUAAAAAUAUCAAUUUUCAAAUUUUGUAAGUUAAAAAAAUAAACGACUUAAUAUUUUUUUUUAGCAAUUCAAACGAAAAAAUAUCAUUCAGAUUCAAACAUCCAAUUCUAUCACAAUUUAUACUAAUUCAGAUUUACUUAAAUUUUAGAGAAAAAAAAAAUACUUGUUUUUACACUUAGAGCUAAUGUAUUGUCAUAAAUAGAAUUCUCACUAAAAAAUCAGGUACAGAUUGAAGAUAUUUAAACUUUAUGUUAAGUCCAUUAUUUAUAGAGUUGACAUUUUAUGGCAAGUCUAAUUAAAUUGGAAGUUUAUUUAUUGCAUAUCUUGUAAUAGGGAUUAAUUUAUUAAUUCCCUAAUUUAGUGAGAUUCCAAUUUAUUAGGAAUGUUUGUUUCUUAAUUUAAUUAAAUGUCUAUUUUAGCAAGUCAAUUAAUAGUGGGAUUCUAUAAUUGGUGCAUGAGAUCUAUUUAGAGUAAGAAGUUGGUUCAAACAGAAAGUCAUUAAAUGCUCUAGAUAUUUCUUAGGAGACAAGUAAGGCAAGAAGAUCAGAUUUAAUCCUAUUCAGAUUCAUGGGAAUUAUAAGAGAAAAGAAACUCUUAUUUGGAAAGAAUCCAAAUCUUUUAAGACUUGCUAUUUUGGUGAAUCCCUAGUGCCUAUAUAAAGAGAGGUAUUUCACAAUUGAAGUUGGAUCGCACAACACAAAGUAUAAAGCAGAGAAGCAAAAUUUGGCCUCCUCCCUAGAGAAUCCGGAUUUGGCGCAUAAUGUUGUGUUGAUUUGUUUUCUUACCUUUUUUUCAUCUAUGUGGAGAGUCUAUGUGGAUCUUGGAUCACUAGACAUUGAAGAAUUAAAUAAUUGCUAUUGAUCACUUUGCGAAGUGCCUUGAAGAUCGUGGAUCAAGAGGGGUAGCAAUUAUUCAAGAGAAGCAGAUUCAUUCUAAGGUUGAGUAAAUUGUAUGGUGAUAAACUGUAAGUGAAAGUCUUAAGUUUGGUAAAUUCAUAGGUUGUAAUAUCUCAACUUAGUGAAUUACUUUUCAUCUUGGCGUGGCCUUGUGGAUGUAGGAUUGAUUAAUCCGAACCACGUAAAAAUCUCCGUGUCAUUUAUUUUCUGCAUUUUAUUGUGUUUUUGAAAAAUUAAUAUUUUCUAUGCGGAUGAACAGUAAUCGGAAACAGUAAACGUAAAUAGUAACUGUGAAUAGUUGCGGUGAACAGUAAUGGUGACCAGUAACAGUGAAAAGUACUUCCGAAAAAAUUAAGUAAUUAAUUUUUUAUUUUUAAUUGCCUACUUCUAUUGUCGAUAGAUCUAAAUUCUUUUCACUUUAGAUUUUGAAAUAUCCAAAGAUUAGAGACCAAAUUUAUUUAUCAUUAAUGGCAUAUAUUAUUAAGCAAUAAUCCUAUGCAAACAACAUCAUCUUAUUUUUAAUGAGUCAAAUGGAAUAGAGCAAUGAGCUUUUCGUCAAAUGGACCAAUCAGAUUAUUCCAAAAUGAACAAUGUAGAUUAAUUAAAUGAGUAAUGAUACAGUCACAAACUCUUAUACAAACUUAUCUUGUACAAACGUAUGUGAUGAGCAUAAUUUAUAUACAUAUUUUACCGUUUAUUAUCUAAUUACUAGUUAUUUUUAUUUGAUAUUUUUUAAUUUAUUGAAUUAUUUUAUUGCAUAAGAAAUUAAUUGGAGAUUGGAAAUAAAAAGUGUAAAAAUAAUAACAAUUUAAGAGAAUAUCAGUUGAAGCCGUGACAGAGUUAAGAGCCAAGAGCAAUUUGCAUUGAAUUUCAAUUCUCCAAUUGAGUUGCACGUGCAUGGCAUUGCAAAAGUGGAAAGCAAUUUAAAUGGGGCCCACACUGGACUUUCAAAAGUGGAAUUAAUGGCUUAUGGUGGCGUUAUUAUGGAAGCUUUGUUUUAUAAUUGGAAAAGGAUUUUAAUUAGUAGACAGAGGAUUCGGUGGCUAAGCAUUAUAAAAAGAGAGUUUUGGCUUUUGAAUGGGGGGCCGCCAGAGGACAAAAACAAAGGUGCAGACGCAAGGCUGGAAGAGAGCAUUCGGCAGCAGCAUCAAUUCGCCUUCCAUGACUGAUUUUAUUUCUUGUAUUGCUCUCAAUUCAAGUAUGUCUAGUUAAUUUUUUUAUACUGAGGUUAAUGAUAAAAUCUUGUUCAAUGAAAUAAUUAUCUUUUUAAUUCCCUAUAUAUGUUCUUUAAUGAUUAUGAUUUUUAUUUCACAUGAUUAAUUGGAUGUUAUUAAAAUCUUUUCAUUAAUUCUGUCAUACAUUAUUGAUUGUUAGGAUUAAUAUUUGAUUAAAUCUAUACUUGGAUUUAUAAAGUUUAUACAUGAUUAUCUUUGAUUCUAUGUCUUUUAUUAAAUUGUUUACAUGGAGUGCUUAGGAAACUUUGACUCUUUGUUAUUCAAUAUGUUUACAUGAGCUUCUUAGAAGUCAUACUAUUAAGCAGAAAAAGAACCUACACAAGAUUAAUUUUAUUUGGGCUUAAUUAUUAUAUCUAUGAGAUGACAUAGAUUGAUUUCAAGUUGUCACUCUAAAAUUGGGGAUUAAUUAAUAAUUAGAUAAUUACUAGUUGAAUAGUGGUGGAUUCUAAAACCUUGGUAAUUUUUGUCUUAUUGAAAUUUCAUUUACUUUAAUUGUUUUCUUAGCUUAAUUAGUUUAAUUUCUCUUAAAACUCAAUUUGCUCAACUAGGUUAGAAUUAAUACUAAUUUUAGAUUUAAAUUAGACUUUAUAACAAUCCAUGUUGGAUCGACCUCGUUACCACUAUUCUAUCUCUAGAUUCGUGCGCUUGCGAGUAUAUUAAAAUUUUCAUAAGUUUUUGGCGCCGUUGCCGGGGAUUGUGCUAGAAAGUCAGUUUAAUCUAGGUUAAUUUGAUUCUUCCACUAGUUAUAAUUUAGGCUGUCUUUUAUUUUAUUUAUUCAAAUUUUUAUUAAAAAAUACAAAAAUUUGUUUAAUUUUGAAUUUAUUGUUUAGUUGUUUGAUUUCUUUUAUUUUAAUUUUGUUUAUUUUAAUUAUUGUUGUUUUAUUUUUCUUCUUUGUCUAGUUAGUUUAUGAGUGUUUGGGAACGUGAUUCAACAAAUUGUUUGGUUAAAAGAGAGUCGAAAAUUGAUAGUAGUCAAGUUAGUUCUUCUCAAGUCAUGGAUGACCUAAAUAGAUUAUUGCCAGUACUACCACCAGUGCAAGCAGAUAAAACCCUUAGAGAAUACUUUUCACCACUUGUGGCCAACCAACCAUCUUGUAUUGUGUUGCCACAAACUACAGCGACACACUUUGAACUUAUGCCCUCAGUCAUUCAACUUAUACCAUCUUUCCAUGGGUUAGAGAGAGAGGAUCCAUAUUUGCACAUUAAGGAAUUUCUUGACAUAUGCUCUACAUUCCGUUUUCAAAUUUUUAAUGAUGAGUCAAUUAGGCUUCAUAUGUUCCCUUUCUCAUUAAAAGACAAAGCAAAAGCUUGGUUGAAUUCGCUUUCUGCUGGGUCUAUUACUACGUGGGAUGAAUUGAAUAAUAAGUUCCUCACCAAGUUUUUCCCUAUGUCUAAAGCAAAUGCCCUUAGGAGAGAGAUGAAUGAUUUUUAUCAAAGAGAGGGUGAGCAAUUUUAUGAGUGUUAGGAAAGAUUUAAUGAUUUACUCCUUAAGUGCCCCCACCAUGGUUUUUAGAAAUGGAGACUUAUACAAUGCUAUAACGAUUUAACCAUGUCGAAUCGUCAUAUGGUAGAGUCUAUGAAUGGUGGGAGAUUUUUGAACCUACAUGAAGGGGCUGCAUGGGAUUUCUUUAAUUCACUUUCUGAGAAUUCUCAACAGUGGAAUUUUUCAAACCAAAGGGAAAAAUCAUCUCAAGUUUCUAGAAAGGGGUUAUAUGAAGUUAAGGAUGAUUUUGACGUGAAAUCCACUCUAGUUACACUUUCUAGAAAAGUAGAUGCCUUAGCUCUGAACCAAUCAAUGAAUCAUCACCCUAGUGUAGCUAAUGAGGUUUGUGCUAUUGGUUCUAACUUGUUUCAUACAAUACAGAAUUGUCCAUCAUUACCAGUCUAUCCAGAGGCUUAUUCUGAGUAGGUACAUGCCUUAGCCCAAACAUAUAUAAAUAGCUAAAGCACAAGUCUGCUGUACGGCCAAGGCGGAUGUACGGUACAGCAGGGAUACACUUCAAAGUUUCAUUCAGUCAACCCAACAAGCUUUUCAGUCAAACACGCAAGCUAUUUUAAAGCUUGAACAUCAAUUGAGUCAAUUAGCAACUACUAUAGCGGAGAGAGAAAAAGAAAAAUUUCCAAAUCAACCAGUUCCUAAUCCUAAAGGAGUGCAUGAAGUUGGAUUAAUGAAAAUACAUCGUGGUAUUAUAGAGGAUGUGUUGAUACAAAUUGACAAAUUUUAUUAUCCUAUUGAUUUUAUUGUUAUCGAUACCCAGCAUGUACAGGAUCCUCAUAAACACACCUCAGCUAUUCUAGGUCGUCAUUUCUUAACUACAACUGAUGCUCAUAUUAGUUACAGGACUGGAAACAUGGAAUUGUCUUUUGGUAACAUGACCAUGGAAUUAAACAUUUUUAAUGUUCCCAAGCAAGCACAAGAAGAUGAUGAAGUUGUUGAAGUACAUAUGAUAGAAGCAUCAAUUGAUGACUCACUUAUUUCUAACCACUGUGACAAUCCAUUAACACCAUGCACAACUAACUCUAAUUUCUCUGUUGAUGUUGACAGUGGUAUUGAAGAAGUUAAUACUUUACUUGAUUCGACUCUUAUUCUAGAUCUAAUUAAGUGGAAAGAAAAGAUUGAGCCACUUCCUCCUAAAGAGAAAAUUGAACCAUUCAAGUUGGAGCUACUUCCUAAAGCAGGUCACAUUCUGACAUGAAAAAUGUGCUAAGAUUUAAAGUGCUUAAAUUGUUAGAUUUUUAUACUACUUCAGAUACCUCGCAGGUAAGCUUGGAACAGAAGAAAUCAAAGAAGUGCGAUAUUAAGGAGUUUCAUUACCAUCAUCCUUUUAUGGAUAAAAUGCUCAAGUGCUUAAUCAAUUAUGCUUUCUGGUAUUUUCUGUAUAAUUGCUUUGAUUUUCACCAAAUUUUUAUUGAUCCUGGUUAAUUCAUUGUUUACAUUAAGUAGUUAGUUAGUAGGAUUUUUUUUAUUUUGUUUUUUUUUAUUUUCUUAUUUAUAUUUCUUGUAACGUGUUAUUUUUAAUUGUCAUUUAGUUUUAAGCUUUCCCAGCCCAUCCAGGUGUGUUCUAUCCAAUUUUCUUUUUUAUUAUUUAUGUUUUUAUUUUUAUUUUUUUAUUUUAUUUUUCAUCUUUUUGCAUGCAUAUCUUUUGUUUUUGAAACAUUGAGGACAAUGUUCCGAAUAAGUUUGGGGGUGGGAAUAGUGUGUUCUUUGUUUGGUUGUUAUUAAAAAAAUAAAAUAAAAUAAAAAAAUUUCAAAAAUUCAAAAAUUCAAAAAAUGUUUUUUUGUUUUUAUGUGAAAAGCCAAUGAUAAAAACUUGAUUGAUAAUGAAUAUGGUUUUUAGAAAGGGUUGAAUAUUGUCUUAGUUUAUACUUGAUUCUUGUGAGUUCCUCUUGAUUGAGAUUCUUUACACAUCAUGAGCACUAAUAUCAGUUCUUUCAUGAUUUUCACUUGAAAUUUGAGAUUGACACAGCCUGAGUUGAGAAUUUUAGAUAGAGUAAAUGACUGUUUGUCUUGAUUCUUAUCUCCACAAUACAAAAUAGCAUACGCAGGUGCCAGAGUCAGAAAUAACCACCUAUAACUCUUAAGAGUGAAGCUAUCCUUGAGUAAUUUGGGCCUAUGUACCACAAGUAUGUAGAGGAUAAUCUACCAUGAGAAGAAGGCUACCUUAAGGGGUAGAGUGAAAGCUCCUAACUAUGGUUAAAAAGAAAAAAGAAAAAAAAAAUCAAGUGCAUGUGCUGAAAAAAAAAAUCAAAAGAAAAUGCACAUAAAAGCAUGUGAAAAAAAAAAUGGAGAUUAAGAUGAUAAGAUCUGUUUGACCUACUCUUUUCUUUGUUUGAGGCGAAGGCUGUUGAUAUUGAAGAUUUUGGGAAUGAAUUUGAUUGAAUUGAUUUCACACACAUACUACAAGAAUCGAAAGAGAGAUGGGAUUGAUUAUUGAAUUAAAGUUAGAACUUUGCCAAUAUUUGAAAUUUUCUUUGAGCUAUAUAAUUUUUGCAAUCUUUAAGGCUAUUUUUCAUGUUUUAUUUAAAGUUUUUUGUUCUUUUAAUUUAAUUUAAUUUUUUUAAAAUGAUGUUUGUGGGUAUCAUCACUGAAGCCCUCACGAGACUAUAACUCGUCCACUGAGGCCGCCUAGGGGUUUAAAGGUUUGUUGCAUACAAUAAAUGCAAUCGCAAUCACCUACGAAAGUGGUUUAGUUAGGAUUUACUUUUUGUUUUGUUAGUUUUAUUUUUGUUUUAAGUUUUAGUUUUGCUCGAGGACUAGCAAAAUCUAAGUUUGAGGGUAUUUAAUGAGCAUAAUUUAUAUACAUAUUUUACUGUUUAUUAUCUAAUUACUAGUUAUUUUUAUUUGUUAUUUUUUAAUUAAUUGAAUUAUUUUAUUGCAUAGGAAAUUAAUUGGAGAUUGGAAAUAAAAAGUGCAAAAAGAAUAACAAUUUGGGAGAAUAUUAAUUGAAGCCGUGACAGAGUUAAGAGCCAAGAGCAAUUUGCAUUGAAUUUCAAUUCUCCAAUUGAGUUGCACGUGCAUGGCAUUGCAAAAGUGGAAAGAAAUUUAAAUGGGGCCCGCACUUGACUUUCAAAAGUAGAAUUAAUGGCUUAUUGUUGCGUUAUUAUGGAAGCUUUGUUUUAUAAUUGGAAAAGGAUUUUAAUUAGUAGACAAAGAGGAUUCGGUGGCUAAGCAUUAUAAAAAGAGAGUUUUGGCUUUUGAAUGGGGGGGCCGCCAGAGGACAAAAACAAAGGUGCAGACGCAAGGUUGGAAGAGAGCAUUCGGCAGCAGCAGCAAUUCGCCUUCCAUGACUGAUUUUAUUUCUUGUGUUGCUCUCAAUUUAAGUAUGUCUAGUUAAUUUUUUUAUACUGAAGUUAAGGAUGAAACCCUAUUCAAUGAAAUAAUUAUUUUUUUAAUUCCCUAUAUAUGUUCUUUAAUAAUUAUAAUUUUUAUUUCACAUGAUUAAUUAGAUGUUAUUAAAAUUUUUUCAUCAAUUAUUAUUAAAAUCUUUUCAUUAAUUCUGUCAUACAUUAUUGAUUGUUAGGAUUAAUAUUUGAUUAAAUCUAUACUUGGAUUUAUAAAGUUUAUACAUGAUUAUCUUUGAUUCUAUGUCUUUUAUUAAAUUGUUUACAUGGAGUGCUUAGGAAAUUUUGACUCUUUGUUAUUCAAUAUGUUUACAUGAGCUUCUUAGAAGUCAUACUAUUAAGCAGAAAAAGAACCUACACAAAAUUAAUUUUAUUUGGGGUUAAUUGUUAUAUCUAUGAGAUGACAUAGAUUGAUUUCGAGUUGUCACUCUAAAAUUGGGGAUUAAUUAAUAAUUAGAUAAUUACUAGUUGAAUAGUGGUGGAUUCUAAAACCUUGGUAAUUUUCGUCUUGUUGAAAUUUCAUUUACUUUAAUUGUUUUCUUAGCUUAAUUAGUUUAAUUUCUCUUAAAACUCAAUUUGCUCAACUAGGUUAGAAUUAAUAUUAAUUUUAGAUUUAAAUUAGACUUUUCAAUUUAUAACAAUCCCUGUGGGAUCGACCUCGUUACCACUAUUCUAUCUCUAGAUUUGUGCGCUUGCGAGUAUAUUAAAAUUUUCACAACAGUCUGUGACAUAAUAAAAUUGGUUGAAUUAAAUAUCUCUUGGCCCACAUGAUUUAUUUUUAUUAUUUUUUAUUUUCAUUCAACCAAUGAAUUAAUACCGCAUCCAUUUGUACAAGAGUUUGUGGCUAUAUCAUCACUCUAAUUAAAUAAUAUUACAAAAUACUAUUUGCUUAAAGGCUUAGAUGGGGAUGAUGGAUGAGAAAUCUCACCCUCUAAAUACCAAUUUUUCUUCCUAUUAUUCAAAUUUAGGUGACCACAGGUCUAUAUUUACAAGCAGCCAAGCUACACCCAAGAGGCUAAUUAAUCUUUUCCUUAAACUCAACUUUUGAAAUUAGUUACCAAUUUCUACUUUCUUGAAUCAUUUUACUUGGUGUUUUAUCAUAUCUUACGAUGCAGUAUCGCCGCUAUAUCUUUUCCCAAAGUUUAAUUUAAUGGAGGAAAUCUGAGAGAUAGAUUCUUCAAAUCUAAUAUUUAUGACAUUAAGCUUUUAAAUUCAAUAUAAAAUCAAAAUUCGCAGUCACCUAUUCUCCACACAAAGCAAAGAAAAAUUUCUAGAGCAAUUUACUUGCUCCAUCUUUUCCCCAGAAUACACAAAAUUCUAUCAAAGAUUUACAAAAUAGACAUGGCAUAAGAACUUCUGUCAUUUGCUCUACCAAAUUUGACAUUUAUCACUAAAGAUUAAUGUGCCUUACAAGGAGCAAAAUCCAUCGAUCUCAAGAAACAUCCCAAUAUUGAGAGAAACAAUAAAUUUAUUUGAGUAAUCGUGCCAUCAUCGACUUAGCGAUAUACCAGAUUCACUUCCAUGGAAAGUCUGUCAAAUUUUGUAGUUGAUUCUCUUCGCUGUCAUCCAGGCCUUUGGAAAUGAAUCAAACGGUGGCUGGGAUUCCAAUGUUUUGACUACAAUGCUGCUCUACUGGGAGCUUGCAUUGUCAACUUUUUUAAUUAUAGCAUGUGUAUAUUUGACUUUAAGUUUUGUGUUUAGAGCAUAUAACAAUCCAUAGGUUGUGAGUCAGAUGUAUAUGUUGUUUGCUUGUGUCAAUACAUACUUAUUUUGAAUGAAAGAGUUGUUAAUUGUUAAUUAUAUUUCUUCUCUCUUGUUUUUUUUUUUUUGUCAUUUUUCCGAUUAAUUUCUUACUAUGUUAAAUGAAAAUAAGGUUUCUUUGAUAUUAAUGUGGAAGUAGGAAUUCUUGAAUAAUUUAUUUGUGAAAUGUUAAUUUUUCAAUUUAUUUUGUUACUUGUAAAGUUAGGAGGUGCGUAAAUGAUAAACUAAUUUUUUAGCCCUUUACCUAAUUAGAAUUUAAAUAAGCAACUUUUGAAUCCUUCACAUACACAUUUAUGUCCUUUUAUAUAAUUCAAAUUUCAGUAAAAGUGUCAAAAGUUUUUUUUUUUUUUGGGUUAAAUUUCACAUCCCAUCCUGUACAUAAACACCAAUUAGAUAAAUUUCUUUUCCAUAAGCCGCAUCUAGUUGACUACAUCACCGAGCCAUUGACCAUGCUAAGAUGUUGACCGGUCAACAAUUGACCAUUGACUUUGAGAGUCAACUUUCACAAAAAAAUUUAAUUUUUUGCUCUAAAUCUCUCCUAAAGUUUUUGAUGUUAUGGAUCUAUACGUGCAUUCAUAAUCUCCAAAUUCUCACUUAAUUUGUGAGUUAUGGAAUGUGUUGUUCCAUGAUCCACAAUUAAAGGGAUCAAAAUGGAGUAUCAAAAUGAUGGCUCUAUUAGGUGCACGUGAUGUAUAGGUGCACGUGAUGUAUGUGAAGUUGUAGAGAAAUGUUUUACUGUACUAGAAGAUGAAGUUACUUUAAUUGCGACACAAAAGAAGAAUUUGAAAGACUUGAAAAUGAAAGAGAAGAAAGAAAAAUAUUUCAUCUUUCAAACAUUAAAUAAAGAUGCUUUUGAACAGAUUUUUCAACGCUACCUCCUUAAAAAAAGUAUGGGAUAAGUUACAGACCUCUUACAAAGGAGAUGAAUAAGUUAAGAAAGUUCAUCUCCAAAUAUUAAAAAAAGAAUUUGAAUCUUUUCAUAUGAAGGUAUCUAAAUCUAUUUCGGAUUAUUUUACCCAAGUUGUGAUUGUUGCUAUGAAACGAUGAGCAACUUCAAGAAAGGUUGCAAGCCUACAAAAAAUAUAUGAAAGAAGAAGCAUGGGAUUGAAGAACAACUCCUCAAGAUGGAAAUCAAUUCGAAGAAGAGAGAAGAAAGCUCCGUCAACAGGAAAAACCAAUAUGUCCAAGUUAGAGGCUAAGGAUAAGGUAGAGGUUGUGGUCAAGGACUAGACAGGAAUUUCAACACCAAUAACUCUAGUUAUGAAAGAGGAGAAUGCUCAAUCAGAAUAUGAGGAAGAGGCAACCCAAGAUUGAGGUAUGACAAAUCCUAAGUAUAGUGCUACAAUUGCUAAAAGUUUGGCCAUUAUGCUUUUGAAUGUUAAGACUCCCAAUAAUAAAGUUGAGGAGAAGAACAAUUAUAUGGAAGAGAAGACUGAAGAGAAUAAAACAAUACUACUAGCAUACUAGGACAAUUAUAGAGGUCACAAGUGCCUAGUAUCUUGAUACUAGUGCGAGCAAUCAUAAAUAUGGAAGAAAAAAUGUGUUCAUGGAGCUAGAUGAAUCAUUAAAUAGCAAUGUAUCAUUCAGAGAUGAUUCCAAAGAAUAGUGAAAAGGAGAGAUAAAAGCCUUAAUUGUUUAAAAAAAAUGGAAGACAUCAAUUUAUUUAAAAUGUUUACUCUACGCCCAAUAUAAAAAGAAACAUCUUGAGCUUAGGUCAACUCUUACAAAAAGGCUAUAAUAUUCACAUGAAAGAUCAUAGUCCUUUUAUAAGAGAUGACAAAAGAAACUUAAUUAUGAAGGUGAAAAUGUCAAAAAAUAGAAUGUUCUCUUUGAAUAUUCAAAAAGAUGAUGUAAAGUGUUUAAAGACUUGUUACGAGGAUGCAUAUGACUUUGGCAUCUUCAAUUUCGGUAUCUCAAUUUUAGAGGAUUGGAGUUACUAUCUAAGAAGAAUAAUAGAAUAUGGUGAAAGUCUUACCAUGUAUUAAUAACCCUGAUCAACUUUGCGAAGGAUGCUUAGUAGAAAAAUAAUUUAAAGAAAGCUUUCAAAAAGAGUCAAACUUAAGGGCAAAAAGGGCGCUCGAGUUUAUUCACUCAAAUAUUUUUGUUCCAAUCAAGCCAAGCUCCCUUGGUAAAAAUAGACACUUCUUUCUCUUCAUAGAUGGUUUUCCAAGAAAAGCUUAGGUAUACUUUUGAGGUAAAAGUCAUAAGUUUUGAAACUUUCAAGAAGUUCAAAACUGUAAUGGAGAAAGAAAGUGGAUACCUAAUUAAAGCCAUAAGAUCUAUCGAGGAGGAGGAUUCACUUCUAAAGAAUUUCAAGGCUUUGUGAAGCAAAUGAAAUUCAACGUCCUUUGACUAUUCCACCACCCCCCAAUAAAGUGGUAUCCCAUAAAGAAAGAAUAGAACCAUUCUCAACAUAUGCAAGAAAUAUGAUGAAAAAUAAGAGACUGCCUAAAUAAUUAUGGGCUAAAGCUGUUACUUGUGCGGUCUACCUAUCUAACAGAUCUUCAACAAGUCUAUGAGACAAUACACCAUAAGAAGCAUAAAAUGGCAUAAGUCAAGCAUCUUCCACUUAAGAGUUUUUAGAAGCAUAGUUCAUGUACAUGUAUCAUACGAGCAAAGAACCAAAUUGGAUGACAAAAGCGAGAAGUUCAUCUUUAUCGACUAUGACAAUAAUUCCAAAGGAUACAAAUUGUAUAGUCCAAACAUAGGAAGAUCAUAAUUAGUGGAGAUGUAAUUUUUUAUUAAAAAAAAUGAGAAUGGGGUUUUAGCUCUCACGUAGAUGGUGUUAUCUUUUUUUUUUUUUUCUCUCUUCAAGAAAACGAACAGAUAAUAGAGGAGCAAGUAGGAGAACAAGAUCAAGAACCCGUUGUUUCACCUACCUCUCCAGUAUCAACCACUCAUGAAGAUCACCACCAUUAUUUUUGGAGGAAAGAGAUGUGACACACACAAGCAUAAACUAUGAUGAGGUGCUUGAUCUUGUUGCCCGAUUGGAAACUAUAAGACUAAUCAUUUCAUUAGCAGCCCAAAAGAAGUGAAAGAUUUUGCAAAUAGAUGUGAAGUCAAUUUUCUUGAAUGGUAGUAACGAGACAUGGCAUCUUUAAAACAAGUUACAGUCAAUUAGAGGGUAUGUGAUCUGAUUAUUGUCAGUAGUAGUAGCAAGAAUAUAAUUUCCAAGAUCAUGGUUGACGAGCUUCUCAUUAAUAAUAUUUAGUAUUUUCUCAAUUGAGACAUUUUUCUCCUUUGUGAGAGCCCUCUUCUUGAGUUUUUAAGAACGUACAGUAGAAUAACAUCUAGUAUCGUUUUCGCGUUGCAUCACCAUCUAUCAUCCUUAAUUCAGGUCCUUCUUCUCACUCAUCAUGAGUCAAUCUUAAUCUUUAGAAAUCACAAUAAACUAUAAUGGAAAUACAAAGCUCAAUAUGUAAACUAUUUUUUCAUAGACCAAAAUACAAACAUAUUUAUAUGUACUGUAAAAGUAUGAUAUGCAAUGCUCUUGGUAAAAAAGAAUUAUUCAAAACUUUGGGUUACUUUCAAACUUUCACACUUCCUUUCAAUGCAUGAUAUGCAAGUCCCUUUGAAAUUAGUCACUUGAAUCGUUUUACAUGAUAUUCUACCCAUAGCUUACAGGCGGAGCAUCAGCACCAGAUAUUUUCCAAAUUAAAUUGUAGGAAAUCUAAGAAGAUAUCACACUUUUAUUAAUUUAAAUUCAAGUUCACUGUCAUUCACUUUCAAAAACCAAAAGACCCUUCACUUUCAACUCUUUACUUGCUUCCUUUUUCUUCCAAUUUUUCUCUUUCUGAAUGGAUUUUCUACAAGUAAAAUUUUCUUUCUCUUCUCUAGAAUGCAAAAAAGUAUAGCGAAGUUUUAAAAAAUGGACAUGGCGGAAAAUUAUUGUCAUUUGCUUCAGCAAAUUUCACAUUUAUUAGUAAAGAUAAGUGCGCCUUCAGUAGAACAUAAAACCCAUUAAUGUCAAGAAUCCAAUAUUUGAGAGUAGCAAUAUAAUUUAUUUGAAAUAAAGGAUGACAUGGACAAACUUGAACCAAACUUAGCAUCAUAGCUUAUGUUCAUUUAUUAUUUAUCUUGUUUUGAAUAGAAAAGAGUUGUUUAUCAAUUAUAUUUCUUUUAUCUUGUUUCUAUGUAAUUUUUCCAAAUAUUUCUUAAGAUGUUAAAACAAAAUUAAAAUUUCCUAAGUUAUUAAUAGGAAAGUACGUAGGAGGACUCGAGUAAUUUCUUUGCGUACAUAUUUUUGCAUAUGCCAAAUUGCAGCAACUAGUGAUCGGUCAUUCUGUUGUGCGCGGAAUGCGGAAUCAAGAGCACCAAACAAUUACAGAAAAAUAAAGGACACAAGAAUUACGUGGUUCGGUAGUUAAACCUACAUCCACGAAGGCAAGAAAGAAUAAUUGUUUAUUUAACAAUUAAUAGAGUACAAAUAUUUGAUUAACGAAUCUCACUUCCCAGAAACCCAAAUAUACCCAAUACUCUCACACUCUGCAAGAAAGAUAAAUUCCCUAGACACACUUCUCUCACUUCUCUCAAAAGCUUAGAAAUUUAUAAGCUUAACAAUUUUGGGAUGAUUUUAAAUGAAUGAAAUCCUGAACUAUUUAUAGGAGAAAUGAAUUACUAUGCAAAGAAUAAAAUAAUUAAAAAUAUAAUUUUUAAUUAUUAUUAUUUUUCAAAUUCAUCCCCUUUGUCAAUUCUUUCUUUUCGGCUACAAAAUCAAUUUUGAUUUUGCUUCUCUACAAUUGUUGGUGCAACCAACAAUUUGUUGACUUCAACACAUUCUUGGUUUUUUUUUUUUUUUUUUUUCCACAAGCAAAGUAACAUGAAUAGACCUGGAGUAAACAAAAUGAUAGUUAGUUAGGGAGAGAUAAUGAACUUCACCCCUUGAAGAAUUAUAUAUUCAACUAAAGCCAAAACAAAAAGAGAAAUUGGUUUCACAUGGAUUCGUUGAUCAUUUUGCGCAAACUCAUUGAAAUUUAUCCAAUUUUAAUACUUCUUGUUACUUGUUGUGUAAGAGCAUGUAUAACGUAUUUAAUAUCUUUGGUGAUCAUUUUGGACAAACUCAUUAAUUAAUUUUAGUCAUUCUUGUUACUUGUUAAUUGUUAUAUAAGAACAUAUGUAAUAUAUUUGGUGUAGGUAAUGAAAAUUAUUAGAUAUAUGCUUUUAUUAUAUAUAAUAAGUAACAAGAAUUAUUAAAAUGAAAUAAAUUUCAAUAAAGAGAAAGGUUUAUAUAAGACAGCCCCCUAAUGUUUUGUCAUCUGACAGUGUAGUGUGUCCCAUAUUAAAUUAAUUAAAUAUAAUAGAUCUUGUUGCGAUCUUUUUGCGAAAAAAGAAUUCUCAAGAGCUCAUCAUAUAUAGUUCCUAAAAAAUUACUAUAUUUGAUAGAUAAGCGUGUCCUAAUUAAGAAAAGAUUUGUAGGAUCAAAUUAAUAAAUAGAGCCACGAUCCUCUUCGCAAUCUAUCGACCAGCUGCAAUCGAGCAGUUUAGAUUUUAAUCACAGCCAUGAUCUCUUCAAGGCUCCUAUGCUGCCUAACAGCGUUACUGAUUCUCCCCUCAUCAUCAAAUGCAGCUGAUCCCGAUCCUCUACAAGACAUCUGUAUCGCAGAUUUGGAUGCCAAAAUCUCUGUGAAUGGCUUCCCUUGCAAAUCUGAAACUGAAGUAACUUCCGAUGAUUUUUUCUUCGAUUUGUCCGAAGAAGGAAACUUGUCAAAUGCCUUCGGACGUGCAGUAACUGAAGGCAAUGUUCAUGAAUUUCCAGGGGUCAACACUCAAGGAAUUUCAACAAAUCGAGUUGACCUUGCUGUUGGUGGAAUCAACCCUCCUCAUUUACAUCCUCGCUCAAGCGAGUCAAGUAUUGUCAUUAGAGGAACAGUGCUCGUAGGAAUCAUAACAACUGACAAUGUGUUUUACUCAAAGGUUGUGACAGCCGGGAUGCUGUUUCUAAUUCCUAGAGGACUGGUUCACUUCCAGCUAAAUGUCGGAAAAGAAAAUGUUCUUUUCUUCCCUUCUUUCAACAGCCAAUUACCUGGCACUCAGUUCGUGCACUCAAGUCUGUUUAAUACAACACCGCCAAUUCCUAAUGAAGUGUUAACCAAAACUUUCCUGGUAGGCGAUGAGGUGAUUAAUGCCAUUAAAGCAGCCAUCACAUCAGCCCAGUUAGGACAUCGGCCCAAAUAGAUUAACGUUCACAAUAAUGCUUGGUCGGGGAAGUUAUUUACUUAAUUAUUUAUAUUGAUUUGAAUAAAAGGAUUGUUUUCUAAUAAGAAUAAUGAUUGGGUUAUAAAGUUUGUAUUCUAACUUGUGUGUCGCCUUGUUUGAUAAGAAUAAUGAUAGGCUUUAUCUUAUAGAGCCGUAUAAUGAUUAGUUACUUAGCCUUAUCCGUGAUUCUAUUUGUAUAUUUCCACAUCUAUUUGUAUUCCAACUUUGUAAGUGUAUCACUGAUCUUCUAUCUGUAUUCUUCUUUUUCAUUUCUUUGUAAUUUCAUCUAUCUUUAAAAGUUUAUGCCAACUUGAUAUUGCUGUAAUUUUUAAAAUAAUUAGUUAUGAAUAGAUUCAAUAAUUUAUUUUUGUAUCAGUCAGAUUCAAUACCAUGGCCCCUAAGCACCUAUUCAAGCCCAUUAAACAUACACUACUCAUAAUCAUCAUUAUUCUUAGAGCUUAAAGAGUAAUGAUAUUUGAACCAAAGGAUUCUACAUAAUGGCGACAAACAAUUGUAAAAUCACAUGGUGUUAUGAUGUUAAGCAAAUAAUUAACAUUGUUUUUCAAUUAAAACUAUAAAACCGUAUAAUUCUAGCAUUGAUUUUUUUUCUCAUUAUGUCACCAUUAGGGCUUUUAUUACUUUUAGAACUUAAAACUAUUCCAAAUUCACUAAAUAAUCAAUCUUUUUUUCUGCAUUAGCUUAUGAAACGAUGGACGAUGGACGAGAUUCAAUUGUUCCCAUUACAAAAGCUGCUCUGGUGGCAGCUGCAUUACCAGAUUUUGAGCUAAACUUCAAACUUAUGUACUAGAUGAUUUUAAUUUGAUGCAAUACAUAUUUUUACUUCUAAUUUAGUUGUAAGAUGUAAUUAGAUGUGAGUUGGGUUGUUGGGUUAAGUUGAAUAUCUAGGAGUGAUGUAAUUAGAUGUGAGUUGGGUUAAGUUGAAUAUCUAGGAGUGUGUGUGUGUGUGUGUAUGUGUUGUAUUUUGAAUUAUUUUCAAGUUUAUUGUUCUAAGGAAGACAUGGACAAAUUUAAACAAACCGUUAGCAUCAUCGCUUAUGUCCAUUUACUUAUUUCUCCUGUUUUGAAUAAAUUAAAAGAGUUAUUCACUUGUUUGUUAAUUAUAUUUCUCCUUUCUUAUUUCUGAGUCAUUUUUCUGAAUAAUUUCUUCAUAUGUUUAAAUAAAAUUAACAUUCCCUAAGAUACUAAUGGAAAAGAUGUCUUGGAUAAUUCGUUUGCGAAUACAUUUAUCCAUUAGAUACAUAUUACAAAUUGCGGCAAAUAGUUAUCUUUCUUUCUUUCUUUUUUAUUUUCUGCUGUACCGUACAUCCGCCUUGGCCGUACAGCAGUGUUUUUAUAACUUAAUUUGAAUUUUUAAAUAAUUUUGACUUAAUUAAAAAAGUUAAUUUUUUUUUGGGUUUUUAUGACUGGAGAAGUUUGAAUCAGCCAAUUGAUUUCUAAUAUUAAAAAUAUCUCUAAUUUAUUAUUUAUUUUUCAUGCUUAUCCUAAAACACACCCAUACAUGUUUAUCUACUAAUAAUCUCAUCUUUAUUUUUUCCAGCUGCUAUGAAAUCCCUCCCUACUUUACUUCUCUCAUCAAGUUCUUGAAUUUCUCAUUAUCGUUAAUAAAAGAUUUUAUUCUUAAAAUUUUUAUGUAAUUAUAUAAUCAGUUUUUAUUAAAAAAGAAAUUUAUAUGUUAUAAUUUCAAAAUAAUUAUAUAUAUAAAGCUUAGGAAAAGGAUACAAAACUCUCUAAUGUCUCAAAAAAGACUUUUAAACUCUAAAUUAUUAAUGGAUUCAAUUUUUUUAAAUAAUUUAAAGGUUAAUAUGAUACAUUCCAUAAUUAAUAAUGGGUGAUGAUAGUUGAUGAAGAAGAAGAAGAUGACAUUGAAUAAGAUGAGCAAUUAGGAAAAAGGAGAUAAUAAACUGAAUUUCAACAGUAAAAUUCCAACCAUUAUAAAUAAGGGUGUGUUUCUAAUUCUAUUAAUAAUUUAUGGGCAAAAUGGAUUAGUCAAUACAAUUACUUGUAUUUUAGAGGAAGAUAAUGGUAAUCAUAAGUUGAAAAUAAUUUUUCUUGUUAAAAUUAACAGAAUCCAUUAACAAAUUGGGGGUAAAUGUUUUUUUAAACGUUAGAGAGUUUUGUAUCCCUUUCUAUAAAGGUUUGGGGUGUAUCAGUCAUUUUCUCUAUUAUUUCCUUGACAUUCGAAUUUAAUAAGGAUACAAAUGUAAAAGUACACAUUUUUAGUUUUUAAGUUAAAAAAAAAACUUAAUACUUUUUCAAAGAUUGAAAAAAAAAUUAUUUAAAUUCAGACAUCCUAGUCUAUUAAAAUUUCAUAGUAGUUCAAGUCUAUUUAAAUUUCAAAUAAAAAAAUUCCAGCUAAAUCCGUUUGUUUUUUCAACAUAAUGAAAAUUUUUAGUUAUUAAGUCAUUAAGUCAUUAAGCCAACUUUUUAACUUUUUGCUAAGCAAAAAAGAUGCCAUUAAAAUAUAUCUUCCAAAAUAUCCCUAUCUAAUUAAUUAAUUUUCAUCCUUACCUAAAUAAAAUUUAAUAAUUAACAUUAUUACCCAUCUCUAUAACUUGUGAUAAUAUAGCGGUAGGUGACUAUUAUUUUUAUCCUUUUAUUUUCUUCAAAUUAGCAUAAUUAAUCUUCAUGAUUUUUUUGAAUAUUUUUUUAUAUAAAAAUAUUAUGAACUACAAUUAAAUUGAUUAACAUGUAUAAUGGAAAAGAUGUCUUGGAUAAUUCGUUUGCGAAUACAUUUAUCCAUUAGAUACAUAUUACAAAUUGCGGCAAAUAGUUAUCUUUCUUUCUUUCUUUUUUAUUUUUUUCAGAGCAACUCAACAUUAAUAGAACAACAUUGAACCAAAUAACGCUUAGGUAGGGAGACAUACCGGGCAUCACCACCACAAAUCCUUCCACCCCGUACCCUAAUACCAUCCCCAAGCCAUCAUAUGCUUCUGCAGUCAACCCUGUGUCCAUCGUUGACCCUAAUGUUGCCUCUAGGCUCUUUAAAUCCUUUGUUGAUGUUUGUUACAAUUUCAUCUUCGCCUUCUUUUUCUGUGAAGAUGGGCACCUUUCAUCGAGGCGAACCUGCUAUACAUUUUAAAGAAUUAGCAGUGCAGAUUAAUUAACUAGUUUCUUAAGAUAGUUGAAACAAGCAUAACCCUCGCAAUAUAUAUAUAUAUAUAGCCGUAUGUUCAUAAUCGAUCAUUCUAUUAAAAAAAUUUCAAUACUUCUAUUUUCUUUUUACUUCAUGGAGUCUUAUUACAGUAGAUACAAAUUAAUUUUCAAUUAGUGAAAUAAUUUUCAAUUAAUGGAAAAGAUGUCUUGGAUAAUUCGUUUGCGAAUACAUUUAUCCAUUAGAUACAUAUUACAAAUUGCGGCAAAUAGUUAUCUUUCUUUCUUUCUUUUUUAUUUUUUUCAGAGCAACUCAACAUUAAUAGAACAACAUUGAACCAAAUAACGCUUAGGUAGGGAGACAUACCGGGCAUCACCACCACAAAUCCUUCCACCCCGUACCCUAAUACCAUCCCCAAGCCAUCAUAUGCUUCUGCAGUCAACCCUGUGUCCAUCGUUGACCCUAAUGUUGCCUCUAGGCUCUUUAAAUCCUUUGUUGAUGUUUGUUACAAUUUCAUCUUCGCCUUCUUUUUCUGUGAAGAUGGGCACCUUUCAUCGAGGCGAACCUGCUAUACAUUUUAAAGAAUUAGCAGUGCAGAUUAAUUAACUAGUUUCUUAAGAUAGUUGAAACAAGCAUAACCCUCGCAAUAUAUAUAUAUAUAUAUAGCCGUAUGUUCAUAAUCGAUCAUUCUAUUAAAAAAAUUUCAAUACUUCUAUUUUCUUUUUACUUCAUGGAGUCUUAUUACAGUAGAUACAAAUUAAUUUUCAAUUAGUGAAAUAAAGUGGCGCAAGAGAUUUGAUGUUAGUACGGUCCCGCCACAGAUUGAAAAAUACUAAAGUUCAUUUUUUUAAUUAAAAAAAACAACAAUUUCAAUUGUGCUCAAGACUAAAAUAUUAAAUCGAAUCGAUUUGCAUAAAAUUAAUUAGGGUAAUUUAAUUCUAUUUAUGUUAAAAUUAUCCACUUCAUGAAAUUAAUUAUUAAUUUUUACACUGGUCGAAUCAUUUUGCAUGAUGUUCUACCAUAGGUUACGACGGACCGUGACCGCCAGAUCUUUUCCUAACUAAAGUGGAAAUUUAAUGAAGGAAAUCUACGAAUAUGAAAUUUCUAUGACAUUAAUUAAAGUUCAACUUCAAUAUAAAUUCAAGUUCAGAGAAGUUUGCUCUCCAAAACCAGAAACCAAAAACAAAACAAAAAAAUUCACAUAUAUCGAUAAAGCUAAAUGUGCACUUGCUUAGAGCAAAAAACCCAUUAAUCUCAAAAAAAUACUCCUUCAUUCAGAGAGACAAUAAUUUAUUUGAGUACCAGAAUUUCAAAUAUGGAUGUUGUAGGCUCUCCCCUCCCUCGUGUUUUGUUCAAUUUUUUUUUUUUUUUUGUAACAAUAAUUUUUUAUCUUUAAUCUUCAUCUUAAAGCCAUUAUGCUUGAUGACUCGUUCAUGUCAUUUUCUUCAGCCUUUACAAAGGUUGUUUCCCCGUUUGUUAGUUGCUGUUACUUGCCCAGCUGGAUUCCCGCCAAUACCAACAACCGUAUAUGCCUUUCUCACGUGCCAAGCAUGCGAAAUUUAAGUGAACCCAAAACGACAACAGGCUUGUGUCGUUUUGAUUAUAUUUGGUUUAUGAUAUCACGUGACAACACACAUGACUUUCGAACCACUUGUGGAUGACAUCCUCGAUAUUGUCGGUUGUCAGGCUUCAACACACUAGACAACAUGUACUGUCUUCGGAGUUCCGCAAAUACUAAACCAUUUUUUUUUUUGAAUGGGCAAAUACUAACUUAAUUAUGUGGCAUCCUUACGGAAAACUCUUUAGAAUUAUUGGAGAAUUUUAAUCCCGCCCAAGAUUCCAUAAAUAAAAAAUACCAAAUAAAUAAUAAGUAAAAUUAGACGGAGAAUAAAACUAGUCACACAACACAAGAAUUUACGUGGAAAUUUCUAUACUGAAGAAAAACUACGGCCACCAAGGAUGACGAGAGAAAAAUAUACUAUGUAAAAAAUUAUUACGAUCAUUCUAGUAUUUUUUCUCACACCAAAAACGCCAAUAACACUCAAUCUUUCAAUAGUUUUAUUGUUUCUCACACACAAGAAACUGUUUACUUGCAGAGAAUUAAUUGUUGUGUUAUAUAAAUAAGUGAACUCAACCUCCCUAUAUAUAGUGAUUAUUUAUUGUAGGAGAAAUAUUAUUUUUUUUAUACUAGUUAUAUUCCUCCUUAAAUAAGACAAGUCCCAAAGAAAAAAUUACUUAUUAUUUAAAUAGAAAUCCUACCAAAAAAAGGAAAAUAUCCUAAAAAAUCCUUAUUGAAAAAUAAGAUAUAUUUCCUGUUUGGUAACGGAUAAAAGGAGGAAAAAAGGGAGAGUGGGGGCAUGACUUUUAUCUCAUCCAUAACUUCCGAAAAGUGGGAGAGAACAAGGGGGGAAAGAGGGGAGUGGGGAGUUACCUAGGGGGGAUUUUAUUUAUUUUUUCUCUCUUCUCCGGGGGGUGUUUUUUGGGCUCUCUUCCUCUCAUGGAAAUUUCUUGCUUUUACACUAUACUUUACUUUCUGUAAAUUACUCGAAAAGCUUUGGGUUUGAAGGCAAUGCUUAUUAAGCCACAUGAGUGGUGGCACAAAUUUUUCCGAAAGGCCUAGAAACUGACUUGAGCGUCGGAGGCUUCACGCCGGAAAAACUUCCGGCGCCUCUGACCGUCUUCUAUGAUUUCCGGUAUUCACAGAUUAAUCGCCGGUGGUUGCAGGACAUCUAGACGAUUGACCAAUCGAUUCUCUACCAAAUAAAUCUAAAGUUGAUGCGGGAGUUUGGUAUCAAGUCGCUAACCGACUCAAUCGGAUUUCGACAUCAACAUUUGGCGCCGUCUGUGGGGAUCGAUACAAGAAGCCAAUUUGUUAUCUCUAUCAACUUUCAUCUAGCCAAAGCGAAGGCAAAAUAUUAUCAUGUGUGAAUUGAAGCAACCUGUCUUUUAUUUCUGAACUCACGUGAAAGAAGCAAAGCGAAUCGGUAAAAAACUAACCCAAUGUUGGCAUUUAGAAGCUUCAGAUCGGUAAAAUCUGUCACAGAUUCAUCUCCACUUGUAUUUCCAAUUAAAUUACUGCAAUUACUUUCAAUUUAUUUGUUUGUGUGCAUGAUAUAUUGCAUCAAAUGAUCAAUUGUGAUUUGGCUUUCAUGAGCAUGAGAAAUUGAUUAUAGAGGAUAGAUUUAAAAAAUACAUAUACUGAAUAUAUGAAAUCAUAUCACAAACUAGUGGCCACAUGCUUGUUGGUUUAUAGUCAAUUGCUGAUCAUGUGCUUACCAUUAAAGUCUUGCACGCAUACAAGUUUAGAUAUUAAGAUUUUAACCACUUUCCCAAUCGGAUUAUGCCACGGUUUCAGCAUGCAUUUUGAUGGGUUUAAUCAUUUCGAAUGAUAUUUAAUUACUAAUUGGAUGCAGAGAUGUGUCAGAUUGUAAUUUCAGAAACAGGUUUCAGAUGAUAUUUGUUAAAAGUGGUGAUACGAGAUCACGCACAGUAAGCGUUAGACAAAAUGAUUGAUAGAAUAAAAAAAAAAAUCGCAGCCUCAAAUUGUAAAGAGCAAGCUUAGGACUCUACAUAGGAACAAUCAAGAUGGUGAGAUUAAUUGGACUGGAAAACAAAGGCUGCAACUGAAAUUACAGGGAGUGACGCUCAAUAGAACAUUGCGCAAGAGCAAAGGACUAAAAUCCAAAAUAAUUCUAAGAAGGGAGCAAAGCAGAGUCAAGCUCGGGAUUUGUUUGAUGACGUACCAAUGAAAUAAUGCAGAGCACAAUCUCAGGUGCACUUGUUCUAAAACCUCAGUUUUAUAUUUAUCCUUUAAAUCCGCUACCUGACUUCAAAAAUCUGAUGGAUGGGGUUUUGACUUAUUAAGUCGUUAAUAAAAAAUAGUUAAGAUUGCAUAUUAUAGAAUAUAUAGCAUAGUCAUAUNNNNNNNNNNNNNNNNNNNNNNNNNNNNNNNNNNNNNNNNNNNNNNNNNNNNNNNNNNNNNNNNNNNNNNNNNNNNNNNNNNNNNNNNAAAGGCCCAAACAUAUAUAAAUAGCUAACCUUGGCCGUACAGCAGUGAGCUAUUUUCUGGACAAGUUAUACGUUAUAGGUCAGAAAUUAAAUUUUUGAUAGUUUAUUACAGCUGAUCAAUUUGCAGAGCAAAUCCAUAUUUAAGGAUUUAAAGAAAAAAACCUCAAAUAAGAGCACAUCGAAGGCACACAUUUAUAGGAAUCAGAACAGGUCAGAAGUUAUAUUUUGAUUUACAAGCAGUUUUUUCUAUGAAAAUUUAAUUGUUUCUCUAAAUUCUGCUAUAUGCGAUGAGGAUACCUUAUAUUCAUUAAAUUGAUUGCGCUCAUAUUAGGGCUGACGGUAUAACUUAGUUAACUUGAUUUCUUGAAAGUUACUCAAUAUGAGAAUAAUUUAAGAAAUGAGAGCUAGGCUAGCGUUGAGAAGCCAAUCAAAGUUUACUAAUAAGGCAUGCAAAGGCUCACCAAGUCUCAAAGUCUAUUUUAUGGCGAGACCAGAAGCCAAGUGUGCCAGGAUUUACUCGACCAAGCGAAGGCAAGCAGACCCUCAAGUAUUAUAAAAAUUCCUAAGGCAUGCAAAGGCUCACCAAGUCUCAAAGCCUGUUUUAUGGCGAGACUAGAAGCCAAGCGUGCCAGGAUCUGCUCGACCAAGCUAAAGUGAGCAGACCUUUAAGUGUUAUAAAAAUUUCUAAGGCAAGUAAAGGCUCCAAAGUCUCAAAACCUGCUCAAUGGCGAGAUAAAAAGUCAAGCUUGCUAGAAUUUGCCCGACCAUGUGAAGCCGAGCAAAAAAAAAAAAUUUACAACUUCUAUACCAGAAGACAAGUAAGAACAUUCUUAUUAAUAUGCCAACAGUUCGUAAAGUUAUUCAUCAUAACAGACAAUGUCCAAAAAAUAGGAAAAGGCAACUACAACACAAAACAUGUUUAAGAAGACGGCGGCUCAGUAAGCCGAGAAGCCUCAGUUGGCUGGUCCACCUCAGGUGCUGGGGGAGUAUCACCAGUUGCGUCCGGGGGGGCACUCGCCUCGCCAACAUCAACAGGGAUUGCACGAGGAGGAGAGUUUUCCUCCUCGACCAUAAUUGGCUCCACCACUUCGGCAUCCUCUUUCGCCGCCUCCUCAUCCAUGUGUUGAGCAACACCAGCUGCAAGGUCAUCCAUUUGCAGAUCAGGGUGCUACUUCCCAAGGACAACCAUGAUGCAACGAUAAGAAUGCCGAAGUCCUUGGUCGUAUUGGUUGUCAGCUUCAUUCUCCAAGUUCUCGUCCUAAGCCCGGUAGGAAUCGCGGAGAGAUUCGAGCUGAGCCUCGUACAUAACCUUCUGCCUUUGCAGAUCCUCCUUGACCUUGGUUAGCUCUUCCUCGAGAGUAAUAGCCUUUGCUUAAGCAAGAGAUUCUCACUCUAUCAGCUUCAGAUUCUCGAGAUUCAAGUCUCCUACUUUCUUCUCGGCAACGUCGGCUCUGGUCAUCGCCGAUUGAAUGUCCUCCUUCAUCUUCCAGUCAUAACGGCCAACCUUGACCUUAUAGUAAGUGGUCAUGCAGCUGAGAUGGAAAUCGCUAUACUGCAUGGCCCCCACCAGCUCACCCAGGGUGCAGCCAUCAAAGUCCUCCAGGUCCUUCUUACUUACAAGUUUAGAUAACUCGUUGAGAUAGGGGACCAAGUGUUCUGCUCGGUUGUCAGAUAAACGAGAUCUAGGCCUGACAGGAGGAGAAGAGGAAGCAGGAUCAGUGGCUGCUCCACUAGUUUCUCCGACUUUGGCAGGAGGAGGAGGUAGAGUCUUCAAGGGAGGAACCUGCUGCACAAUGUUCACCCGCUUCGCAGUAAGAGUGUUCUUGUUCUGGUCUCUCUUUGCAGUUUGAGGUCGAGAACGUUUCCAAUUCAGAGCCCCGAUCACAACAUCCUCCAUCUUAUGGCCGGGGGGCACCAAGCAAGAUUCAACCAGGUUAUAACGUGGUUAGCAGCUCCUAGUGUGAGCAAGAAUUGGCCAGCACAGCCUCGACCUGUUUGAGCUGGUCGGGAUUAAGCGGGAAGUGAACACCCCAAGAACCUGUAAAACGAACAGACAUUUGGUUAGAGACAAAUCAACAAAGUGAGAACAACUAUGGAGACAAGUCAUUUAAAAUGAGCAGGCAACCUGGAACCACGAAACGGGGUGGGACGCGAUAAUCUUUCCCAUCAAUCUGUGCAACUUGACCCCAGGGACCCCCUUAUAAAAAUUCCUAAGGCAUGCAAAGGCUCACUAAGUCUCAAAGCUUGUUUUAUAGUGAGACCAGAAGCCAAGCGUGCCAAGAUAUGCUCGACCAAGUAAAGGCGAGCAGACCCUUAAGUGUUAUAAAAAUUCCUAAGGCAUGCAAAGGCUCACUAGAAGCCAAGCAUGCCAAGAUCUGCUCGACCAAGCGAAGGCGAGCAGACUACAAAAGUUUCAGAAAUCUUCCAAGGCAUGCAAAGGCUCCAAAGUCUCAAAGUCUAUUUUAUGGCAGGACAGAAAGCGAAGCAUGCCAGGAUCUGUUUGACCAAGCGAAGGCGAGCAGACUACAAAAGUUCUAAAAAUCUCCUAAGGCAUGGAAAAGCUCCACAAGUCUCAAAGCCUCCUCGAUGGCGAGACAGGAAGCCAAGCUUGCCAGAAUCUGCUCGACCAUGUGAAGCCGAGCAAACAAUGAAAAUUUCAAAAAGUUUCUAAGGCAAGUAAAUGCUCCAAAGUCUCAAAGCCUGCUCGAUGGCGAGAUAAGAAGUCAAGCUUGCUAGAAUCUGCCCGACCAUGUGAAGCCAAGCAGAAAGAAAAAAAAAAGGUACUACAAGUAAAAGGCUUACAGUCUCCAAACCUCCUCGCAGUGAAACGAAGUCAAAGUUCUCUCUUGCCCGACUAAGAUUAUGCGAGCAAGAGUUAUAUGAGCGAAAAAUGUUCUAAAGCAGAUAAAUGACUAAGUCUUAAAACUUACUUGAAAUGAGAUAAAUACCUAAACUUAUGAAACCUGCUUUACAUGAUUAUGUGAGUAGGAAAAUGGUAUAUUUAAAGGCAUGUAAAAGUUUAAAACUUGAAACUUUUUUGUUAAGGGCAAGGUUAAUUUAAGCAAUCCCGAGCCGAUUUAUGGCAACCACCUCGAGUUCACUUUAAAAUUUAUAUAGUUUCCAGUCUUGAUUCGUUAAAGCUCUCAACACUAGAAACUGGGGGACUGGUGUUUGGUAACGGAUAAAAGGAGGAAAAAAGGGAGAGUGGGGGCAUGGCUUUUAUCUCAUCCAUAACUCGAUGUGUUGGUGAUUGGAUAUUGUAAAGGAUUUAUUAGAUAUUGUAUACGGAUUUGAUUCACCAUAUAUUUUGUGAUGCUAUUUGUUGGAAGUUUCAAGUGAUUGAAAUUUUUAGCGCAUCACACUAUUUGGUAUUUGAUAGUUUUUAUGAAUUUGAAUGUAAUUUUUAUUUCAAUUAAUUCAAGUUUUAAAUGUGGUUUUUGUUGUUUUUAUUUCAAAAUUCUGGAAUUUAAAUAAUAAUAAUUAAUAUUAUUAUAAUUUCAAAAUUAAAAAUAAUAAUUUUAUUCUUUUUUAAACUUUAAAUCUCAUGACAAAGAAUGUGAAUCAUUGAUAUAUGACAGCUUUUGAAGAAACCCAUCAAAUUCAAAAUAAUUUAAAUACCUGCUAAAAUUUCCAAUUAAUUCUCGAAAGUCUUUCAAAACGACGUCGCUUGGUUCGUGAUACAUGUGUGAUAAAUAUACAUUGUCAUGGGAACAUGUGAUAGAUAAAAUGUUGUCACAGAUUUGUGAGACGGGCUACAAUGACAGAUGGAAACUCUGUCAUAAGAGGGGUCGGAUGAUAGAUAUUCUCUGUCAUGGUAGCCCAUUUUUCUAGUAGUGUUCAAAUAGAAAAAUUAGUACGUUGUCAAUAUAAUUGUCUUAUAUAUGAUGCCAACAAUGAAACUAAACAAUCAUUCCCUUUAGCAUCCUUUUGGAAAAAUCUCUAUAACAAAUUGGAACAUUUUAAAAACUCAAAUCUUCAUAAAAAGUGGAGUGAGGAGUACCAUUAAUGAGUAAGUCCUGUGUUCGCACUUACAAAUACAAACACAAAGAUUAAAAUAAAUUUGAUCACUCACUAAUUGGAGUAUUUAUGUUAAACUUAUAGUUAUGUUUGGCCCUAAAAGUAUGCAAUAAAAUAACAUCAUUUUCAUAUACAAAAUUUUAUUUAUUCAUUGUUUAUUUUGACCGAACAUUAUUAGACUUAGUUUAUGAAGCAUGUAUUUUAUAUAUUGAUAAUUCUGCUGUACGGCCAAGGCGGAUGUACGGUACAGCAGGCCUAUCUAUCUUUUUUUGGUUUUUGUAUAUAUAUAACUCAUGAGAUUUAUAAUUUUUCAUUAUCAUGUUAACCCCUGGUCUGGACUGUCCUAAUAUUUAAACUUCUUUCCACCAUUUUCAAUUCUUAAAUUGACCAAUAUUUAUCUCAAUGUGUCCCUUUACUUGCCCAUUGAAUUUUGCAUCAAGGAUCUGAUGUGGUAGAAGAGAAGCUAACAAUUUAUGCGCUCGACAAUGUCUUUGCCUUUUGAAUUGAUUGAGAGAUCAUCAUUUCUUCACCCACUGGAAACUUUAGAUUAUGCUUUACGCUUUGGGCUUAUACUGGCAAGCCUACAAUCAUGGUAUUAAAGUUGGUAGAUUGAGGAGAUUCUGGUGAUUCCAGAAUUUUCUACAUUUUCUCUUUAUCUUUUGGAUUUUUAGAACUUUUUCCUUUCUUUUUAUUAGCUUGAUUUUGAUGGAUUUUAUUUAAUUAUAUAUGGAAGGUUAGAUGUUGUGCAUUAAUUAAAUUAUAGUCUUGAAAAAAUACUCUUUAAAAAAAUUCAUCUAGAAAUUUAGAAUUGAAAUCUGUCGAAGGCUAGACUAAAAGUUCUCUUCUCGUCUUUGGCAUUGCACUUGGUUUUAUAUUUCUCUUUACUAUGUACUCUGUUGCAAAAUAUUUUGUUUAUACUUAAUCUUUUAUAAUCCAGCAACUCUUAUGAAGACCUAGUCAACUGUCACUGCUACAUAAGCAUUCAGGUUAUGCUGCUUUAUCAUCAUUUUUAUUUUCUUCCAUUUUUCUCUUUUACAGCUUGUGAGCUUACUGCUUCAUUAUGUCAAUUUUCUGAAUGUGAUUUUUUAUUUUCUCUUGGGUUGUUUAUUCUCAUUUUCCCUUUAGUAUCAAAGCUGAUUAAAUCAAUUAGACACUGAUGAAUUUUAUUAUGAAUUUGAUUAAUUGUAAGUGGGCAAUAUAUUAAUAUGUAUUUUUUUGGCACUCAUUUUAUUGUAACCUAUGUUUCAGGUGAUGUUGGUGGCUUUCGGGAAUUUACUAAGAGUGUUUUUUUUAUGGAUUAAUUGUUUUUCUAGUGAUGUGUUGGUGAUUGGAUAUUGUAAAGGAUUUAUUAGAUAUUGUAUACGGAUUUGAUUCACCAUAUAUUUUGUGAUGCUAUUUGUUGGAAGUUUCAAGUGAUUGAAAUUUUUAGCGCAUCACACUAUUUGGUAUUUGAUAGUUUUUAUGAAUUUGAAUGUAAUUUUUAUUUCAAUUAAUUCAAGUUUUAAAUGUGGUUUUUGUUGUUUUUAUUUCAAAAUUCUGGAAUUUAAAUAAUAAUAAUUAAUAUUAUUAUAAUUUCAAAAUUAAAAAUAAUAAUUUUAUUCUUUUUUAAACUUUAAAUCUCAUGACAAAGAAUGUGAAUCAUUGAUAUAUGACAGCUUUUGAAGAAACCCAUCAAAUUCAAAAUAAUUUAAAUACCUGCUAAAAUUUCCAAUUAAUUCUCGAAAGUCUUUCAAAACGACGUCGCUUGGUUCGUGAUACAUGUGUGAUAAAUAUACAUUGUCAUGGGAACAUGUGAUAGAUAAAAUGUUGUCACAGAUUUGUGAGACGGGCUACAAUGACAGAUGGAAACUCUGUCAUAAGAGGGGUCGGAUGAUAGAUAUUCUCUGUCAUGGUAGCCCAUUUUUCUAGUAGUGUUCAAAUAGAAAAAUUAGUACGUUGUCAAUAUAAUUGUCUUAUAUAUGAUGCCAACAAUGAAACUAAACAAUCAUUCCCUUUAGCAUCCUUUUGGAAAAAUCUCUAUAACAAAUUGGAACAUUUUAAAAACUCAAAUCUUCAUAAAAAGUGGAGUGAGGAGUACCAUUAAUGAGUAAGUCCUGUGUUCGCACUUACAAAUACAAACACAAAGAUUAAAAUAAAUUUGAUCACUCACUAAUUGGAGUAUUUAUGUUAAACUUAUAGUUAUGUUUGGCCCUAAAAGUAUGCAAUAAAAUAACAUCAUUUUCAUAUACAAAAUUUUAUUUAUUCAUUGUUUAUUUUGACCGAACAUUAUUAGACUUAGUUUAUGAAGCAUGUAUUUUAUAUAUUGAUAAUUCUGCUGUACGGCCAAGGCGGAUGUACGGUACAGCAGGCCUAUCUAUCUUUUUUUGGUUUUUGUAUAUAUAUAACUCAUGAGAUUUAUAAUUUUUCAUUAUCAUGUUAACCCCUGGUCUGGACUGUCCUAAUAUUUAAACUUCUUUCCACCAUUUUCAAUUCUUAAAUUGACCAAUAUUUAUCUCAAUGUGUCCCUUUACUUGCCCAUUGAAUUUUGCAUCAAGGAUCUGAUGUGGUAGAAGAGAAGCUAACAAUUUAUGCGCUCGACAAUGUCUUUGCCUUUUGAAUUGAUUGAGAGAUCAUCAUUUCUUCACCCACUGGAAACUUUAGAUUAUGCUUUACGCUUUGGGCUUAUACUGGCAAGCCUACAAUCAUGGUAUUAAAGUUGGUAGAUUGAGGAGAUUCUGGUGAUUCCAGAAUUUUCUACAUUUUCUCUUUAUCUUUUGGAUUUUUAGAACUUUUUCCUUUCUUUUUAUUAGCUUGAUUUUGAUGGAUUUUAUUUAAUUAUAUAUGGAAGGUUAGAUGUUGUGCAUUAAUUAAAUUAUAGUCUUGAAAAAAUACUCUUUAAAAAAAUUCAUCUAGAAAUUUAGAAUUGAAAUCUGUCGAAGGCUAGACUAAAAGUUCUCUUCUCGUCUUUGGCAUUGCACUUGGUUUUAUAUUUCUCUUUACUAUGUACUCUGUUGCAAAAUAUUUUGUUUAUACUUAAUCUUUUAUAAUCCAGCAACUCUUAUGAAGACCUAGUCAACUGUCACUGCUACAUAAGCAUUCAGGUUAUGCUGCUUUAUCAUCAUUUUUAUUUUCUUCCAUUUUUCUCUUUUACAGCUUGUGAGCUUACUGCUUCAUUAUGUCAAUUUUCUGAAUGUGAUUUUUUAUUUUCUCUUGGGUUGUUUAUUCUCAUUUUCCCUUUAGUAUCAAAGCUGAUUAAAUCAAUUAGACACUGAUGAAUUUUAUUAUGAAUUUGAUUAAUUGUAAGUGGGCAAUAUAUUAAUAUGUAUUUUUUUGGCACUCAUUUUAUUGUAACCUAUGUUUCAGGUGAUGUUGGUGGCUUUCGGGAAUUUACUAAGAGUGUUUUUUUUAUGGAUUAAUUGUUUUUCUAGUGAUGUGUUGGUGAUUGGAUAUUGUAAAGGAUUUAUUAGAUAUUGUAUACGGAUUUGAUUCACCAUAUAUUUUGUGAUGCUAUUUGUUGGAAGUUUCAAGUGAUUGAAAUUUUUAGCGCAUCACACUAUUUGGUAUUUGAUAGUUUUUAUGAAUUUGAAUGUAAUUUUUAUUUCAAUUAAUUCAAGUUUUAAAUGUGGUUUUUGUUGUUUUUAUUUCAAAAUUCUGGAAUUUAAAUAAUAAUAAUUAAUAUUAUUAUAAUUUCAAAAUUAAAAAUAAUAAUUUUAUUCUUUUUUAAACUUUAAAUCUCAUGACAAAGAAUGUGAAUCAUUGAUAUAUGACAGCUUUUGAAGAAACCCAUCAAAUUCAAAAUAAUUUAAAUACCUGCUAAAAUUUCCAAUUAAUUCUCGAAAGUCUUUCAAAACGACGUCGCUUGGUUCGUGAUACAUGUGUGAUAAAUAUACAUUGUCAUGGGAACAUGUGAUAGAUAAAAUGUUGUCACAGAUUUGUGAGACGGGCUACAAUGACAGAUGGAAACUCUGUCAUAAGAGGGGUCGGAUGAUAGAUAUUCUCUGUCAUGGUAGCCCAUUUUUCUAGUAGUGUUCAAAUAGAAAAAUUAGUACGUUGUCAAUAUAAUUGUCUUAUAUAUGAUGCCAACAAUGAAACUAAACAAUCAUUCCCUUUAGCAUCCUUUUGGAAAAAUCUCUAUAACAAAUUGGAACAUUUUAAAAACUCAAAUCUUCAUAAAAAGUGGAGUGAGGAGUACCAUUAAUGAGUAAGUCCUGUGUUCGCACUUACAAAUACAAACACAAAGAUUAAAAUAAAUUUGAUCACUCACUAAUUGGAGUAUUUAUGUUAAACUUAUAGUUAUGUUUGGCCCUAAAAGUAUGCAAUAAAAUAACAUCAUUUUCAUAUACAAAAUUUUAUUUAUUCAUUGUUUAUUUUGACCGAACAUUAUUAGACUUAGUUUAUGAAGCAUGUAUUUUAUAUAUUGAUAAUUCUGCUGUACGGCCAAGGCGGAUGUACGGUACAGCAGGCCUAUCUAUCUUUUUUUGGUUUUUGUAUAUAUAUAACUCAUGAGAUUUAUAAUUUUUCAUUAUCAUGUUAACCCCUGGUCUGGACUGUCCUAAUAUUUAAACUUCUUUCCACCAUUUUCAAUUCUUAAAUUGACCAAUAUUUAUCUCAAUGUGUCCCUUUACUUGCCCAUUGAAUUUUGCAUCAAGGAUCUGAUGUGGUAGAAGAGAAGCUAACAAUUUAUGCGCUCGACAAUGUCUUUGCCUUUUGAAUUGAUUGAGAGAUCAUCAUUUCUUCACCCACUGGAAACUUUAGAUUAUGCUUUACGCUUUGGGCUUAUACUGGCAAGCCUACAAUCAUGGUAUUAAAGUUGGUAGAUUGAGGAGAUUCUGGUGAUUCCAGAAUUUUCUACAUUUUCUCUUUAUCUUUUGGAUUUUUAGAACUUUUUCCUUUCUUUUUAUUAGCUUGAUUUUGAUGGAUUUUAUUUAAUUAUAUAUGGAAGGUUAGAUGUUGUGCAUUAAUUAAAUUAUAGUCUUGAAAAAAUACUCUUUAAAAAAAUUCAUCUAGAAAUUUAGAAUUGAAAUCUGUCGAAGGCUAGACUAAAAGUUCUCUUCUCGUCUUUGGCAUUGCACUUGGUUUUAUAUUUCUCUUUACUAUGUACUCUGUUGCAAAAUAUUUUGUUUAUACUUAAUCUUUUAUAAUCCAGCAACUCUUAUGAAGACCUAGUCAACUGUCACUGCUACAUAAGCAUUCAGGUUAUGCUGCUUUAUCAUCAUUUUUAUUUUCUUCCAUUUUUCUCUUUUACAGCUUGUGAGCUUACUGCUUCAUUAUGUCAAUUUUCUGAAUGUGAUUUUUUAUUUUCUCUUGGGUUGUUUAUUCUCAUUUUCCCUUUAGUAUCAAAGCUGAUUAAAUCAAUUAGACACUGAUGAAUUUUAUUAUGAAUUUGAUUAAUUGUAAGUGGGCAAUAUAUUAAUAUGUAUUUUUUUGGCACUCAUUUUAUUGUAACCUAUGUUUCAGGUGAUGUUGGUGGCUUUCGGGAAUUUACUAAGAGUGUUUUUUUUAUGGAUUAAUUGUUUUUCUAGUGAUGUGUUGGUGAUUGGAUAUUGUAAAGGAUUUAUUAGAUAUUGUAUACGGAUUUGAUUCACCAUAUAUUUUGUGAUGCUAUUUGUUGGAAGUUUCAAGUGAUUGAAAUUUUUAGCGCAUCACACUAUUUGGUAUUUGAUAGUUUUUAUGAAUUUGAAUGUAAUUUUUAUUUCAAUUAAUUCAAGUUUUAAAUGUGGUUUUUGUUGUUUUUAUUUCAAAAUUCUGGAAUUUAAAUAAUAAUAAUUAAUAUUAUUAUAAUUUCAAAAUUAAAAAUAAUAAUUUUAUUCUUUUUUAAACUUUAAAUCUCAUGACAAAGAAUGUGAAUCAUUGAUAUAUGACAGCUUUUGAAGAAACCCAUCAAAUUCAAAAUAAUUUAAAUACCUGCUAAAAUUUCCAAUUAAUUCUCGAAAGUCUUUCAAAACGACGUCGCUUGGUUCGUGAUACAUGUGUGAUAAAUAUACAUUGUCAUGGGAACAUGUGAUAGAUAAAAUGUUGUCACAGAUUUGUGAGACGGGCUACAAUGACAGAUGGAAACUCUGUCAUAAGAGGGGUCGGAUGAUAGAUAUUCUCUGUCAUGGUAGCCCAUUUUUCUAGUAGUGUUCAAAUAGAAAAAUUAGUACGUUGUCAAUAUAAUUGUCUUAUAUAUGAUGCCAACAAUGAAACUAAACAAUCAUUCCCUUUAGCAUCCUUUUGGAAAAAUCUCUAUAACAAAUUGGAACAUUUUAAAAACUCAAAUCUUCAUAAAAAGUGGAGUGAGGAGUACCAUUAAUGAGUAAGUCCUGUGUUCGCACUUACAAAUACAAACACAAAGAUUAAAAUAAAUUUGAUCACUCACUAAUUGGAGUAUUUAUGUUAAACUUAUAGUUAUGUUUGGCCCUAAAAGUAUGCAAUAAAAUAACAUCAUUUUCAUAUACAAAAUUUUAUUUAUUCAUUGUUUAUUUUGACCGAACAUUAUUAGACUUAGUUUAUGAAGCAUGUAUUUUAUAUAUUGAUAAUUCUGCUGUACGGCCAAGGCGGAUGUACGGUACAGCAGGCCUAUCUAUCUUUUUUUGGUUUUUGUAUAUAUAUAACUCAUGAGAUUUAUAAUUUUUCAUUAUCAUGUUAACCCCUGGUCUGGACUGUCCUAAUAUUUAAACUUCUUUCCACCAUUUUCAAUUCUUAAAUUGACCAAUAUUUAUCUCAAUGUGUCCCUUUACUUGCCCAUUGAAUUUUGCAUCAAGGAUCUGAUGUGGUAGAAGAGAAGCUAACAAUUUAUGCGCUCGACAAUGUCUUUGCCUUUUGAAUUGAUUGAGAGAUCAUCAUUUCUUCACCCACUGGAAACUUUAGAUUAUGCUUUACGCUUUGGGCUUAUACUGGCAAGCCUACAAUCAUGGUAUUAAAGUUGGUAGAUUGAGGAGAUUCUGGUGAUUCCAGAAUUUUCUACAUUUUCUCUUUAUCUUUUGGAUUUUUAGAACUUUUUCCUUUCUUUUUAUUAGCUUGAUUUUGAUGGAUUUUAUUUAAUUAUAUAUGGAAGGUUAGAUGUUGUGCAUUAAUUAAAUUAUAGUCUUGAAAAAAUACUCUUUAAAAAAAUUCAUCUAGAAAUUUAGAAUUGAAAUCUGUCGAAGGCUAGACUAAAAGUUCUCUUCUCGUCUUUGGCAUUGCACUUGGUUUUAUAUUUCUCUUUACUAUGUACUCUGUUGCAAAAUAUUUUGUUUAUACUUAAUCUUUUAUAAUCCAGCAACUCUUAUGAAGACCUAGUCAACUGUCACUGCUACAUAAGCAUUCAGGUUAUGCUGCUUUAUCAUCAUUUUUAUUUUCUUCCAUUUUUCUCUUUUACAGCUUGUGAGCUUACUGCUUCAUUAUGUCAAUUUUCUGAAUGUGAUUUUUUAUUUUCUCUUGGGUUGUUUAUUCUCAUUUUCCCUUUAGUAUCAAAGCUGAUUAAAUCAAUUAGACACUGAUGAAUUUUAUUAUGAAUUUGAUUAAUUGUAAGUGGGCAAUAUAUUAAUAUGUAUUUUUUUGGCACUCAUUUUAUUGUAACCUAUGUUUCAGGUGAUGUUGGUGGCUUUCGGGAAUUUACUAAGAGUGUUUUUUUUAUGGAUUAAUUGUUUUUCUAGUGAUGUGUUGGUGAUUGGAUAUUGUAAAGGAUUUAUUAGAUAUUGUAUACGGAUUUGAUUCACCAUAUAUUUUGUGAUGCUAUUUGUUGGAAGUUUCAAGUGAUUGAAAUUUUUAGCGCAUCACACUAUUUGGUAUUUGAUAGUUUUUAUGAAUUUGAAUGUAAUUUUUAUUUCAAUUAAUUCAAGUUUUAAAUGUGGUUUUUGUUGUUUUUAUUUCAAAAUUCUGGAAUUUAAAUAAUAAUAAUUAAUAUUAUUAUAAUUUCAAAAUUAAAAAUAAUAAUUUUAUUCUUUUUUAAACUUUAAAUCUCAUGACAAAGAAUGUGAAUCAUUGAUAUAUGACAGCUUUUGAAGAAACCCAUCAAAUUCAAAAUAAUUUAAAUACCUGCUAAAAUUUCCAAUUAAUUCUCGAAAGUCUUUCAAAACGACGUCGCUUGGUUCGUGAUACAUGUGUGAUAAAUAUACAUUGUCAUGGGAACAUGUGAUAGAUAAAAUGUUGUCACAGAUUUGUGAGACGGGCUACAAUGACAGAUGGAAACUCUGUCAUAAGAGGGGUCGGAUGAUAGAUAUUCUCUGUCAUGGUAGCCCAUUUUUCUAGUAGUGUUCAAAUAGAAAAAUUAGUACGUUGUCAAUAUAAUUGUCUUAUAUAUGAUGCCAACAAUGAAACUAAACAAUCAUUCCCUUUAGCAUCCUUUUGGAAAAAUCUCUAUAACAAAUUGGAACAUUUUAAAAACUCAAAUCUUCAUAAAAAGUGGAGUGAGGAGUACCAUUAAUGAGUAAGUCCUGUGUUCGCACUUACAAAUACAAACACAAAGAUUAAAAUAAAUUUGAUCACUCACUAAUUGGAGUAUUUAUGUUAAACUUAUAGUUAUGUUUGGCCCUAAAAGUAUGCAAUAAAAUAACAUCAUUUUCAUAUACAAAAUUUUAUUUAUUCAUUGUUUAUUUUGACCGAACAUUAUUAGACUUAGUUUAUGAAGCAUGUAUUUUAUAUAUUGAUAAUUCUGCUGUACGGCCAAGGCGGAUGUACGGUACAGCAGGCCUAUCUAUCUUUUUUUGGUUUUUGUAUAUAUAUAACUCAUGAGAUUUAUAAUUUUUCAUUAUCAUGUUAACCCCUGGUCUGGACUGUCCUAAUAUUUAAACUUCUUUCCACCAUUUUCAAUUCUUAAAUUGACCAAUAUUUAUCUCAAUGUGUCCCUUUACUUGCCCAUUGAAUUUUGCAUCAAGGAUCUGAUGUGGUAGAAGAGAAGCUAACAAUUUAUGCGCUCGACAAUGUCUUUGCCUUUUGAAUUGAUUGAGAGAUCAUCAUUUCUUCACCCACUGGAAACUUUAGAUUAUGCUUUACGCUUUGGGCUUAUACUGGCAAGCCUACAAUCAUGGUAUUAAAGUUGGUAGAUUGAGGAGAUUCUGGUGAUUCCAGAAUUUUCUACAUUUUCUCUUUAUCUUUUGGAUUUUUAGAACUUUUUCCUUUCUUUUUAUUAGCUUGAUUUUGAUGGAUUUUAUUUAAUUAUAUAUGGAAGGUUAGAUGUUGUGCAUUAAUUAAAUUAUAGUCUUGAAAAAAUACUCUUUAAAAAAAUUCAUCUAGAAAUUUAGAAUUGAAAUCUGUCGAAGGCUAGACUAAAAGUUCUCUUCUCGUCUUUGGCAUUGCACUUGGUUUUAUAUUUCUCUUUACUAUGUACUCUGUUGCAAAAUAUUUUGUUUAUACUUAAUCUUUUAUAAUCCAGCAACUCUUAUGAAGACCUAGUCAACUGUCACUGCUACAUAAGCAUUCAGGUUAUGCUGCUUUAUCAUCAUUUUUAUUUUCUUCCAUUUUUCUCUUUUACAGCUUGUGAGCUUACUGCUUCAUUAUGUCAAUUUUCUGAAUGUGAUUUUUUAUUUUCUCUUGGGUUGUUUAUUCUCAUUUUCCCUUUAGUAUCAAAGCUGAUUAAAUCAAUUAGACACUGAUGAAUUUUAUUAUGAAUUUGAUUAAUUGUAAGUGGGCAAUAUAUUAAUAUGUAUUUUUUUGGCACUCAUUUUAUUGUAACCUAUGUUUCAGGUGAUGUUGGUGGCUUUCGGGAAUUUACUAAGAGUGUUUUUUUUAUGGAUUAAUUGUUUUUCUAGUGAUGUGUUGGUGAUUGGAUAUUGUAAAGGAUUUAUUAGAUAUUGUAUACGGAUUUGAUUCACCAUAUAUUUUGUGAUGCUAUUUGUUGGAAGUUUCAAGUGAUUGAAAUUUUUAGCGCAUCACACUAUUUGGUAUUUGAUAGUUUUUAUGAAUUUGAAUGUAAUUUUUAUUUCAAUUAAUUCAAGUUUUAAAUGUGGUUUUUGUUGUUUUUAUUUCAAAAUUCUGGAAUUUAAAUAAUAAUAAUUAAUAUUAUUAUAAUUUCAAAAUUAAAAAUAAUAAUUUUAUUCUUUUUUAAACUUUAAAUCUCAUGACAAAGAAUGUGAAUCAUUGAUAUAUGACAGCUUUUGAAGAAACCCAUCAAAUUCAAAAUAAUUUAAAUACCUGCUAAAAUUUCCAAUUAAUUCUCGAAAGUCUUUCAAAACGACGUCGCUUGGUUCGUGAUACAUGUGUGAUAAAUAUACAUUGUCAUGGGAACAUGUGAUAGAUAAAAUGUUGUCACAGAUUUGUGAGACGGGCUACAAUGACAGAUGGAAACUCUGUCAUAAGAGGGGUCGGAUGAUAGAUAUUCUCUGUCAUGGUAGCCCAUUUUUCUAGUAGUGUUCAAAUAGAAAAAUUAGUACGUUGUCAAUAUAAUUGUCUUAUAUAUGAUGCCAACAAUGAAACUAAACAAUCAUUCCCUUUAGCAUCCUUUUGGAAAAAUCUCUAUAACAAAUUGGAACAUUUUAAAAACUCAAAUCUUCAUAAAAAGUGGAGUGAGGAGUACCAUUAAUGAGUAAGUCCUGUGUUCGCACUUACAAAUACAAACACAAAGAUUAAAAUAAAUUUGAUCACUCACUAAUUGGAGUAUUUAUGUUAAACUUAUAGUUAUGUUUGGCCCUAAAAGUAUGCAAUAAAAUAACAUCAUUUUCAUAUACAAAAUUUUAUUUAUUCAUUGUUUAUUUUGACCGAACAUUAUUAGACUUAGUUUAUGAAGCAUGUAUUUUAUAUAUUGAUAAUUCUGCUGUACGGCCAAGGCGGAUGUACGGUACAGCAGGCCUAUCUAUCUUUUUUUGGUUUUUGUAUAUAUAUAACUCAUGAGAUUUAUAAUUUUUCAUUAUCAUGUUAACCCCUGGUCUGGACUGUCCUAAUAUUUAAACUUCUUUCCACCAUUUUCAAUUCUUAAAUUGACCAAUAUUUAUCUCAAUGUGUCCCUUUACUUGCCCAUUGAAUUUUGCAUCAAGGAUCUGAUGUGGUAGAAGAGAAGCUAACAAUUUAUGCGCUCGACAAUGUCUUUGCCUUUUGAAUUGAUUGAGAGAUCAUCAUUUCUUCACCCACUGGAAACUUUAGAUUAUGCUUUACGCUUUGGGCUUAUACUGGCAAGCCUACAAUCAUGGUAUUAAAGUUGGUAGAUUGAGGAGAUUCUGGUGAUUCCAGAAUUUUCUACAUUUUCUCUUUAUCUUUUGGAUUUUUAGAACUUUUUCCUUUCUUUUUAUUAGCUUGAUUUUGAUGGAUUUUAUUUAAUUAUAUAUGGAAGGUUAGAUGUUGUGCAUUAAUUAAAUUAUAGUCUUGAAAAAAUACUCUUUAAAAAAAUUCAUCUAGAAAUUUAGAAUUGAAAUCUGUCGAAGGCUAGACUAAAAGUUCUCUUCUCGUCUUUGGCAUUGCACUUGGUUUUAUAUUUCUCUUUACUAUGUACUCUGUUGCAAAAUAUUUUGUUUAUACUUAAUCUUUUAUAAUCCAGCAACUCUUAUGAAGACCUAGUCAACUGUCACUGCUACAUAAGCAUUCAGGUUAUGCUGCUUUAUCAUCAUUUUUAUUUUCUUCCAUUUUUCUCUUUUACAGCUUGUGAGCUUACUGCUUCAUUAUGUCAAUUUUCUGAAUGUGAUUUUUUAUUUUCUCUUGGGUUGUUUAUUCUCAUUUUCCCUUUAGUAUCAAAGCUGAUUAAAUCAAUUAGACACUGAUGAAUUUUAUUAUGAAUUUGAUUAAUUGUAAGUGGGCAAUAUAUUAAUAUGUAUUUUUUUGGCACUCAUUUUAUUGUAACCUAUGUUUCAGGUGAUGUUGGUGGCUUUCGGGAAUUUACUAAGAGUGUUUUUUUUAUGGAUUAAUUGUUUUUCUAGUGAUGUGUUGGUGAUUGGAUAUUGUAAAGGAUUUAUUAGAUAUUGUAUACGGAUUUGAUUCACCAUAUAUUUUGUGAUGCUAUUUGUUGGAAGUUUCAAGUGAUUGAAAUUUUUAGCGCAUCACACUAUUUGGUAUUUGAUAGUUUUUAUGAAUUUGAAUGUAAUUUUUAUUUCAAUUAAUUCAAGUUUUAAAUGUGGUUUUUGUUGUUUUUAUUUCAAAAUUCUGGAAUUUAAAUAAUAAUAAUUAAUAUUAUUAUAAUUUCAAAAUUAAAAAUAAUAAUUUUAUUCUUUUUUAAACUUUAAAUCUCAUGACAAAGAAUGUGAAUCAUUGAUAUAUGACAGCUUUUGAAGAAACCCAUCAAAUUCAAAAUAAUUUAAAUACCUGCUAAAAUUUCCAAUUAAUUCUCGAAAGUCUUUCAAAACGACGUCGCUUGGUUCGUGAUACAUGUGUGAUAAAUAUACAUUGUCAUGGGAACAUGUGAUAGAUAAAAUGUUGUCACAGAUUUGUGAGACGGGCUACAAUGACAGAUGGAAACUCUGUCAUAAGAGGGGUCGGAUGAUAGAUAUUCUCUGUCAUGGUAGCCCAUUUUUCUAGUAGUGUUCAAAUAGAAAAAUUAGUACGUUGUCAAUAUAAUUGUCUUAUAUAUGAUGCCAACAAUGAAACUAAACAAUCAUUCCCUUUAGCAUCCUUUUGGAAAAAUCUCUAUAACAAAUUGGAACAUUUUAAAAACUCAAAUCUUCAUAAAAAGUGGAGUGAGGAGUACCAUUAAUGAGUAAGUCCUGUGUUCGCACUUACAAAUACAAACACAAAGAUUAAAAUAAAUUUGAUCACUCACUAAUUGGAGUAUUUAUGUUAAACUUAUAGUUAUGUUUGGCCCUAAAAGUAUGCAAUAAAAUAACAUCAUUUUCAUAUACAAAAUUUUAUUUAUUCAUUGUUUAUUUUGACCGAACAUUAUUAGACUUAGUUUAUGAAGCAUGUAUUUUAUAUAUUGAUAAUUCUGCUGUACGGCCAAGGCGGAUGUACGGUACAGCAGGCCUAUCUAUCUUUUUUUGGUUUUUGUAUAUAUAUAACUCAUGAGAUUUAUAAUUUUUCAUUAUCAUGUUAACCCCUGGUCUGGACUGUCCUAAUAUUUAAACUUCUUUCCACCAUUUUCAAUUCUUAAAUUGACCAAUAUUUAUCUCAAUGUGUCCCUUUACUUGCCCAUUGAAUUUUGCAUCAAGGAUCUGAUGUGGUAGAAGAGAAGCUAACAAUUUAUGCGCUCGACAAUGUCUUUGCCUUUUGAAUUGAUUGAGAGAUCAUCAUUUCUUCACCCACUGGAAACUUUAGAUUAUGCUUUACGCUUUGGGCUUAUACUGGCAAGCCUACAAUCAUGGUAUUAAAGUUGGUAGAUUGAGGAGAUUCUGGUGAUUCCAGAAUUUUCUACAUUUUCUCUUUAUCUUUUGGAUUUUUAGAACUUUUUCCUUUCUUUUUAUUAGCUUGAUUUUGAUGGAUUUUAUUUAAUUAUAUAUGGAAGGUUAGAUGUUGUGCAUUAAUUAAAUUAUAGUCUUGAAAAAAUACUCUUUAAAAAAAUUCAUCUAGAAAUUUAGAAUUGAAAUCUGUCGAAGGCUAGACUAAAAGUUCUCUUCUCGUCUUUGGCAUUGCACUUGGUUUUAUAUUUCUCUUUACUAUGUACUCUGUUGCAAAAUAUUUUGUUUAUACUUAAUCUUUUAUAAUCCAGCAACUCUUAUGAAGACCUAGUCAACUGUCACUGCUACAUAAGCAUUCAGGUUAUGCUGCUUUAUCAUCAUUUUUAUUUUCUUCCAUUUUUCUCUUUUACAGCUUGUGAGCUUACUGCUUCAUUAUGUCAAUUUUCUGAAUGUGAUUUUUUAUUUUCUCUUGGGUUGUUUAUUCUCAUUUUCCCUUUAGUAUCAAAGCUGAUUAAAUCAAUUAGACACUGAUGAAUUUUAUUAUGAAUUUGAUUAAUUGUAAGUGGGCAAUAUAUUAAUAUGUAUUUUUUUGGCACUCAUUUUAUUGUAACCUAUGUUUCAGGUGAUGUUGGUGGCUUUCGGGAAUUUACUAAGAGUGUUUUUUUUAUGGAUUAAUUGUUUUUCUAGUGAUGUGUUGGUGAUUGGAUAUUGUAAAGGAUUUAUUAGAUAUUGUAUACGGAUUUGAUUCACCAUAUAUUUUGUGAUGCUAUUUGUUGGAAGUUUCAAGUGAUUGAAAUUUUUAGCGCAUCACACUAUUUGGUAUUUGAUAGUUUUUAUGAAUUUGAAUGUAAUUUUUAUUUCAAUUAAUUCAAGUUUUAAAUGUGGUUUUUGUUGUUUUUAUUUCAAAAUUCUGGAAUUUAAAUAAUAAUAAUUAAUAUUAUUAUAAUUUCAAAAUUAAAAAUAAUAAUUUUAUUCUUUUUUAAACUUUAAAUCUCAUGACAAAGAAUGUGAAUCAUUGAUAUAUGACAGCUUUUGAAGAAACCCAUCAAAUUCAAAAUAAUUUAAAUACCUGCUAAAAUUUCCAAUUAAUUCUCGAAAGUCUUUCAAAACGACGUCGCUUGGUUCGUGAUACAUGUGUGAUAAAUAUACAUUGUCAUGGGAACAUGUGAUAGAUAAAAUGUUGUCACAGAUUUGUGAGACGGGCUACAAUGACAGAUGGAAACUCUGUCAUAAGAGGGGUCGGAUGAUAGAUAUUCUCUGUCAUGGUAGCCCAUUUUUCUAGUAGUGUUCAAAUAGAAAAAUUAGUACGUUGUCAAUAUAAUUGUCUUAUAUAUGAUGCCAACAAUGAAACUAAACAAUCAUUCCCUUUAGCAUCCUUUUGGAAAAAUCUCUAUAACAAAUUGGAACAUUUUAAAAACUCAAAUCUUCAUAAAAAGUGGAGUGAGGAGUACCAUUAAUGAGUAAGUCCUGUGUUCGCACUUACAAAUACAAACACAAAGAUUAAAAUAAAUUUGAUCACUCACUAAUUGGAGUAUUUAUGUUAAACUUAUAGUUAUGUUUGGCCCUAAAAGUAUGCAAUAAAAUAACAUCAUUUUCAUAUACAAAAUUUUAUUUAUUCAUUGUUUAUUUUGACCGAACAUUAUUAGACUUAGUUUAUGAAGCAUGUAUUUUAUAUAUUGAUAAUUAAUUUCAUUUCAAUAUUGGAUGAUAUAAAUCACAAAUUUUUUAUGAAUAAAAAAUUGUACAUAGUCAUUAAUGAAUUGGACAUGUCAUUAUGUACGUAAUUUUAUACUUUUCCUAUCUCUACAAUGAGUGAUUUUUUCUUGAUCGCUAAAUUGGAGAUUUCAAGUAGAAAAGUUAAUUUGUUGUCAAUAUAAUAGUAAUACAUAUGAUGCCAACAAUGAAACAUAACAAUCAUUUCCUUUGUCAUCCUUAUAGAAAAAUCUCUAUAAUAAACUGGAACAUUUAAAAUCUUAAGUGUUUAUAAAAUAUGGAGUGAGGACCAUUAACGAAUAAGUCAUGUUCAUAUUUACAAAAACAAGCACAGAAGCACAAACACAAAAAUUGAAAUAAAUGUGAGAACAGAUAACUAUUUUUGAAAUAAUGCCCAUUACGAGCAUUACUGGUCUUUAUUGUUUGUAACCGCUACUUGAAACGCCUUUAGUGCUGCAACUAUUUGCUACUUUCUUGAAAUCCCAUCUUCGCACCAAACCAAUCUUCAAACCCGGCUAAUAAUUACUUCAUUUUAGAGCAAUUCGGAAGUCUUGUCACAAAUUUUCACCCCGAUAAGUCAGGGGUUUACUUGAUACAAAUAAAUAAACUAUUUCUUUCCGUAAGAAAUUGGUGUAAAAUCGAUUAUCCAGAUGUUAUUAUCCCAAUUUAUGAAUCUUAAUUUUCAUGAUGAGAAAUUAUGCCCCUAUUAACCAUACAAAAUAAAUUUUAAAAAUAAAAUAAAAUAAAAUAAAACCAUACAGAGUAUACAAAAAGAGAGCGGUUAAUAUUUAUUAUUAUUGUUGAAAUAAUUUAUUGAAAUUCACCUAGUGUCUGUUUAAUCUUUAUAUUUUAAAAAAUAACUCAAGACACCCUUACCGUUGAAUAUGUUACACUUAUAUCCUUACUUUUUCUUUUAAUUUAUAAUAAUAUUCUUACAACAUUAUUCUUGAGAAUAUUAAUAAAAAAUAAUUUAUUAUAUUAAACUUAAAAGUAACAUAAAAAUUAACACAAAUUUUUAUAUUAUUAUUUUACUUUUGUUAUUUCACGACUUUAUAUCGUAUUAGAAAAGUUUAAGUAACUAGUUUUGCUCCUUGUGGCUAGCUGUUAUUGGCAGCUGGAGCAUGUAAUCUUAAACCCAAUAACUUUAAGAGGAAAAUGUUAAUAAGUAUAAUUAUCACAAAGAAAUCAAAAAUAUAAAAAGUAUAAAAAUCAAAUAAUCUAAAAAUAAAAUUCCACUAUAAAAGAAAAACAAAACUAACAUUACACGAAGGAAAAUGGUCGUUAGUUUCCUGAAUACUUCAAUUAACUUCCUUAAGUUUGUUCCUGCUCCUUUAGUUUGCUGAGACAUACUGCAGUAAAUGAUGACUUUGAACGACUUGUCACUUUCUUCAGGAAAUUAAGGAAUUUGCCCAAAAUUGAAAAGUAAAGUCAUCUCUAACAAAGUUCGAAAAAGUUUCUCAAAACUCACUAACCUCGCUUCCAAUUCCUUCAUUGAUUCGCAUAUAUUCUCUGUUUUUCUUCUAUUAGUUUCUGUUAGGAAUUUUAGCAAACAUUUGAUAUGGAUAACACAAUUAAAAUAAUAGAACAAAGAAUUUCGAUUCCUAAUUUAACUGAAAAAAAAAAUCUGAAUUUCACUUAAUACAAUCACAACUAAAGUAAUCAAAAUUAAAUUAGCUGAGUUAAAAAAUGCAUGCCAUCUUCUCAUUGUUAUCAACCUGCAACUCAAUAUCGAAAAACACCGAACGUGACCCUCUGUUAGCCUUAUGCCUCUUGUCCCCUCCCUCUCCAUAGCCUAACAUCUUCCAUGUGCUUCCUAUUGGUUUUUUACCCAAUAAGUAAAAAAAGAAGGAAAAAAAAAGUUCAAAUAUUUAGCGCGAUUGAGAUUAGAACUGAUCAAGUUCUAUUCAUCUUCCUAGGACGAGAUGAAUGCUGCUCGUCCAGUCUUCCUUAGCAUUUUGCAGCUUCACACCAACAUUUUUUGACUUGGAUUUCUUGAACUGAUCAAGUUGCAGGAAAAUAAUAAUAAUAAUAAUAAAGAUUUGAAAUAGAGAGGCAAAGCUAAACGAGAAAAAGACUUGAGAACUUUAUUUAUUUAUUUAUUUUUGUAUUAGUUUGUUUAGGGUUUUAAUUCUGCUUCAUUUUUUUUUCUGUUAUAUAAAAACUUAGCAUGUUAAUAACUGAAUAUUUUAGAAGUGAGAAAACUAAAAUUAAAAAAAUGAAAAACGUAAAUUAAAUUUCCAGAGAAUUUUUUAAUUAAAUUUUAAAAAAGAAAAAAAUAAAAAAGAAGAACAGUUUCAGUUCUUUUGUAAAUAAUAAAAAAUCAAAAUUAAAUUUUAAUGAAAUAGAAGCUUUAACAAGUUAAAAAAUAUUUAUAAGUCAAGACAAAACUAUAUGCUAUAAUUUUUUAGUUUACUAACUAUAUCUAAUUAUCCAGAACAAUUUAUCAUGAAAGUUGAGGGGCACAGGUUCAAGUUCUACCGCUAUCUAAAAGUUGGUGUUAAGACUUUAGUUUUCCUCUUAUUAAUAGGUAAGGGGAAAUUAAGACUUUAAAUUAUCUCCUAUUAAUAGGCAAGCGUUAAAAGGAGAAUUUAAAAAAAAAAUCUGUGCAAAAAAGUGAAGUCUCUAAAUUAUUAAAAACUAGAGUAAAUAGGAGAAUUAAAAAAAAAAUCCUUAAAAAAAGUGAAGUCUCUAAAUUAUUGAAAACUAAAAGCGUUUGCGAGACUAAUACUUGUGUCUCAAAUUAUUGAACAAAUUUACACAAUUCUUUUAGCUACAAAAUAUUAAUGUCACUGACGACUACAUUUUGUUACACAUAUUUGUUGUUAUAAGAGAUGAUAAACUAUCCAAGAAUGUUAAAAUUUGCAGGAAUUUAUUAGUGCUAAAAAUACGAUGUCUCUGCAUAACGAAUGUCAUUAUGUUCACCAAAAGAAUAAGAAUCAAAUAGCAAAUAAAUGUGUUUUAAAAACAAAAUAACUUGGUCAAAAAGUACAGUAAUAACUAAAACAAAAUAUUCAAUUACUAUUUUUAAGAUUUUGUCGCUAUAGAAUUAUUUGUGACAAAAAAUUUGGGUGCCUAAUUUAGAGAAAGCCAAAAUAAUUUUGGAGACUAAUAUUUUUGUCAUAGCUUGUUUCACCAAAUUUAUACUCUUUUUUAGUUGAUAAUUUUUUGUCGCCUCUAAUUAUUUUUCAUCAUCACAUUUUUUUGUCACAACUGAUAAUUAAUUGUUUGGAGGAAUUGUUUUUCACUAUAUAUAUAUUAUGACCAAUGUAAUAUUUGUCACAAAAAGUUGAAUCAAUGACCAAUUAAUGCAUCCCAAAAUAAGAAUUAUUGGUUAGAAAAUAUAAUAUAAAUUAGAACUAGACUAAUAGUUUGAAAUUGUUGUAAAAAAAUCGUCUUAAAAAGUCAAAUUUCUUAUACUACACAUUGAUAUAUAUUGAUUAAUUUGUUAAUUAAUUUUUUAUUUAUAGAUAAAUUAAUUAAUGUUACGAAUAUCGUUGAAAGAGUAUUAUUAUAAAAAAAAAGAAAAAAAGGAUAAGAAUGUAACAUAUUUAACUGAAGAGGUGUUUUGAGAUAUUUUUUAAAAUAUAAAACUAAACAAACAUUUAACUCAUAAUAUAGGAAUUAAAUAAUCAUUUAUCUUUAUUUUGUAGAUAACUAGUUUUGCUGGAAACUCCCAUAUAUACAACAGAUUUGGAAACACAAUACGCCACUCACAGUCACUUGGAGAAAUUCUCAAAGAGUAAAUAUGGCAGUGAUACUCAAAAAUAUAUUCCGAAUCACUGCUUCCAAGUUGGUCACCAAUAAUAUCCAAAUCUUCACGAAAAGAAGUAUAAAAACUGCCACUUCUGAUGUUCAAAUCAUUUCCACCGAAGCAAUCAAACCUCAUCUCCAACACCAAAACAUCUCAGAACCUAUAAGCUUUCAUUGCCUGAUCAAUUGUGUUCUAAACUUUACGUGUCCCUUGUUUUCUUCUACUCGACCAAUUGCAAACAGCAAGAUCUCAGAAAAAAAUCCGAUUUGUUGAAGCAGUCUCUCGCAAAAUCAUUAACGCACUACUACCCUUUUGCUGGACGAUUGAUUGAUAGCUUUUCAGUCGACUGCAAUGACCAUGGGGCUGCAUUUACUGGGGCUGCAAUUGUUGGCUGUGAUAUAUCAAAGUUUCUUCAACCACCAGAUAUGGAGCUGCUACUACAAUUAAUCCCACCUAGUCCCCAGUUAUCGAAUUUAGAUAUUUCUGAAAGAGAACUUUUGGCAGUCCAAGUAAAUUUGUUCAGCGGCGGUGAAAUGGCAAUUGGUGUUUGUUUUUCGCAUGGAGUGGCCGA
rnacentral:lncRNA from 1 species